rnacentral:lncRNA from 1 species
GAUGCACGAGAUAGCAUAAGUAGUAGUAGGAAGCAGCUCUUAUUUGUGGCGUCGGUAUACAUCAUACUAGGUAGAUGGUUCAAUUGGCAUGGAUGGGUGGUGGAGCCUUGAAGUGCUUGUGAUGGGGAGCCCACGGCUUCUUCUCAGGAGUUGGUGGCUUCUUGUAUGGAGUUGAUGGAGGUGUUUCUACUGGAGGGUGGCCAGGGUAGUGACCCUGGGGUGGUGAAGGUUCUUUUGUCGGUGGUGGCCUCACUAUUAUUGGCGGUAGAGUUGGUGGCUUGGGCGUUGGCGGUGGUCUCACUACUCUUGGGGGUAGAGUUGGUGUCUUGUGUUUUGGUGGUGGAGGUGGCUUAACAGGAGUUGGUGGCUUGUAUUCUGGGGGUGGUUUCUCCACCGGAGGUGGCUUAUAAACUGGAGUUGGUGGCUUGUAUUCUGGGGGUGGCUUCUCCACUGGUGGUGGCCUGUAAACAGGGGUUGGUGGCUUAUAUUCUGGGGGAGGCUUCUCCACUGGAGGCGACUUAUAAACAGGGGUUGGUGGCUUGUAUUCCGGGGGUGGCUUCUCUACGGGAGGUGGCCUGUAAACAGGGGUUGGUGGCUUCUCCACCGGAGGUGGCUUAUAAACGGGGGUUGGUGGCUUGUAUUCUGGGGGUGGUUUCCCCAGUGGUGGAGACUUGUAAACAGGAAGAGGUGGUUUGUGCUCAUAUGGGGGUGGCUUGUGGUCAUUAGCAAGUGAGGGAGUGGUGAGGACCACCAAUCCAAGGAACAACACGAGUGAGCAAGCAGAAGACAUGUUUGGGCUCUGGUGAUGCACAAGUAGAAGAAAUGGGAACCAUUUAUAAUGCUUCGAGACCUUGGUUAGCACCAAAAUAUGUCAAAAUCUUGAUUACUUCAUUUCAUACAUAGAUUUAAAAUUAUUUCAAUCAACCAUGAUCCUUAAUUUUCUGGGUGGUCCAUAAAUGUAAUGGGGUCAAUUUGGGACCUAACAAGCUGAGAAGUUUGACAAUGCUGCAAGGCUUCAUCCGAAAGUCCGGGGAAGAAUAUUAGGAGUUACACUCCGUUUCCUUUUUUGGGUGCAUUUUUCUCCUUUAACAUUCUAUUCCCUUUUACAUUAGCAUUUGAUCUUAGCUCAUUUCAAGUACAAGUUUCUUGAACCCUAUACCAUUGUCAAAGUUGAGUAACCAUCUCUACUUUGCUCAAGAAACAUAAAAGACAAUGACAAUAAAGAAAAAGGAGAGAGACCAUACGUGACUUGGUUUAUAGGUGGCUUUGUGUUGACAUUUGAGUAUGGAAGCCGACAUGCAUCUUAGCUUCGAUUUUAAUUAAAUUUGUACAUUAGUGUCUGUGUCAUUCAUUUUGGUAUAAAAGGUCUCUUGAUUUCGUAAGUUUGGUAAGAACCGUUGAAAAUAGCAGUAGCAGCACAUGGUCCACUUUCUUUCACAAAAUAAUUUUAAAAGUUUAGAAGCAUAGGAGGUAACAUUAGUGGCCUUGUGGCUCAGCCACGAGUACUAUGUGGUGCUCGAGAAAUUGAGUUUAAUUUCCUUCCGAUAGUUCAUGAUAAGGUCCGUCACUGUCCUGAGACAGAUUGCGUUUUUUCUUUUUUCCUUUUUUAGUGUUUUAUUGACUAGCUAGGUGUGACUUUUCCUACUUUAAGGCACGAGGCAGAAAAGAAACUGGGAUUUAGUGCUUAAGAAGGCAAAUUUAAUUCGAUUUGGAUCUAAAAUUUGCCAGCAACAUGAGAUUUUCCAGCCUAUCGUUGCUCCACAUAUAGACAAGGCACUUGUAGAAGUGGCUUGUUUGUAGCCAUUCCCGAUAUUUGGACUCACUUGAUUCACCGGACACUUUGAUAAAAUUUAAUAUUUAUUAUUUAAUAAUUUAAAUUGAUUUAAAAUUAAAUUAUACCGAAGUUGUGAUUUAAAAAUUAUUAUUUAAUUCUUACUUUUAAAUAUGAAGAUUAUUUGAUAAAAAUAAUUUAAAAUUUAUUAUAAAUUAUCAAAUUAACAUAUUUAUCCUUAUAAAUUAUAAUUAAAACAGAAAAGGUCAAAUGAUUUGAGUAUCCAUAGAUGUGGUAAAAUAAUAAAAAAGAUUAUAAAAACAAUUAUGAUAAAUAAAGAUAAAAAGUAAAAUGAAUAUGUGAAUUUAAAGAAUAAAUUAAUUAUUUUUAUUUAUUACUUAAAAUUAUUUUUGACUUUAAAUUAUAUUAUUAAAUUAUUUUACCAAACAUACUUAAUUUAGUUAAUAAUUUAAAUUUAAUUUAAGUUAUUAAAUUGAUUCACCAAAUACCCACUUAAUCAAAGACUGAAGUAUACAUUAUUUGGCCAAAUGCAGCUAUUGAAAUUUAACUUUUUCCAAACUUAUUCAUUUUGUGGAAAUAUUUUUAGAAAUGAUUUUAAAAAUGCACUAUUCUGUGUGUUGAUUUUAUAUUUUGGCAUUAAUCCAACAUAGAAAACGGUUCUUAUUUUCGCUGUUAAAUAGGUACCAGAUCCUUAAUUAGUGCCGUGAAUCCGGCAGCUUCCAAUGAGUAAUUUGGACUUGGGUAUUGACAAUGUGUGGCCAUGCUUCUACUAUUUUAUUAUUCUUGAAACAUAUAUGAUAUAUUGGACUUUAUACAGGGAAAAAAAAAAAAAAAAGUCUUCACCAAAAAUGAUUCCUCCUAAAAAAUAGACUCCACAAACUAGGUUUAACAGGAAAAUGAUUCUAAUCUAGUAGUUUCCAGCCACAUGAGCAUUUACGUAACAAUAGUAUAGUUGAUAACGACUUUUAUUUUAUUUAUUUUUAAAUAGUUAAAGGGAUAAUUUUUGAGCUUAAAUUUUAUUUUUUUAUUUAGAAACAUUUUACUUUAUUUUUUAAUCAUAAUUCUAUUAUAUUAAUGUUUUAUUUUCUAUUUUUUAAUAUAUAAGGAGAUACUAAAUUUAUGUGAUUAUUUUUUAAAAAUUUAGUAUAUGAAAUUAAAUAAUUGGAUAUAUAUACAUAUAUCAUAUAAUGUUUUUUAAGUGUGAUUUUUGAACUUUUUAGUCAUUUUAUAAGUUUAAGCUUUUGAUUUUUUUUUUUAAACUUUGGUAUUUUUUAUUUUAUAUAAAACUAUUUUGAUUUAAUUUUAUUAAAAAAUAUUGGUAUUAUAAAUUAUUGUAUUAAUUAUUUUUUUAUAUUAUAAUGUAACUGGUAUAUACUAAAAAAUGUAUGCAAGUUCAAUUUAAGUUUCAAAUUAAAAAAUUUCAUUUAAAUAUUUAAUAACUUGUUCAUAAUAAAAAAUUAAACAACAUAAUACAAAUGAAAAGAAACAUAAAAGAAAAAGGAAAAAAUGGUCCUCUCUGUGUGUCACAUUACUAGGUCAUCCUCUUUUUCUAUGACCCUUACAAUAGAAUGGCAUAUUUGUCAAAUCUACUUAUGAAAGUUGGAAUGUUUCUACAUGUGUAGGGUCCAUUGGAACUAAUGGAGGAAAGGCUUAACGUCUAUGUAAAUCACAACGUUGCCUAGGUGGGCAUAGAUCUAGUUGUGUAACAUGAGAUGGUGUGAGAGUACAAUAUAUGCAUUGUAGUCUCUAUGGGAAGAGAGAUAGGUAAUGGUAGGGUGGUAGACGGUAGGGUGAUCUCUAAUAUAAUGACAUUUGAUGUGGUGGCUUCUAAGAGAGGAGAUAUAAGAGAUGGUAGAAUGACAUUUGGUGUAAUGGUCUCUAGUGCAAUGACAUGUGAUAUGGUGACCUAUAAAGAAGAGAUAUAGGUGAUGGUGAAGUGGUAUGUGGUGUAGUGACCUUUGAGAUAGAAAAUAGAGGUAAUGGUAGGUUGGCAGGUGGAGUGGUCUUUGGUGUAGUGACAUCAAUUAUAAAUGUCUCCAAGGGAGGAAAUAAAGGUGAUGGUAGGUAGUAAAUGUUGAGGUGGUCUUUGAUAUGUUAUGCUCUAAGAGAGAAGGUAUAGGUAAUGAUAAUAGGGAAUUUGACAUAGUGGUGUUGGAAAUAAAAAGUGAAAGUGACCGUAGAGGUGAAAGGGCAAGUGUAAAAGCCUCAAGUACGAAUGGAGUAAUUAAUGUGGAUGGUGCUAACAUAGUCUUAGGUGGAUACACAAAUAGUCAUAGUCAUCAACUAGCUUGCCCACCAUCUGUCUUUCUGCUAGUGAUAGGUUACAUCUUAAUAGUAAUGGCCAACAUAAGUGGUGUGGAUCCGAUUUUUUUACGUGUGUCCCCACUCAAUCGACAAGACUUAUUUUUUAUUAGUGAAAAAUUAAUUUUGGAAAAGUUGGAGUCACCACUUAUUUUAUUUUAUUUUAAAAAGGAAAGUAAAACAAGAAAGAGAACUCUAAAGAAGUGACUUCAUAGUUUUGGAAAAGUUAGUCUUAAAAAAUCCAAGUCUUGGUCCGGAGAUCAGGUUACUUAUUGGGAAGAUACCUCUAAGAGGUAAUACCCCUCUAAACCCUAAAGAAGUCUCUAAUGACUAAGUUGAGGAGAAUGUGGUAAUUAAUUAAUUGAUUGAGGGUACCUAGGUAGACUAAGGUGAUUUCAGAAUUAACAUACCAAGCUAGAAAGUCCAAUCAUGAUCAUAAAAGAGAGUCAAAGUAUGUACCUGAACUGCUUCUCAAACGCUAUCAUAAAACAUCAAAGUUAGUAUAGAAAUAUAACACAUAAUAUUUGUUUUAUCCAAGCAAAUAAAGCAUACAUCUAAGCACCCAAGAAUCACAUCAAGUAUGGAUAUAGUCAUCAAUAGCAUACGUGUCCAUAGAACUAUCGAAAGUAAAUGUGGAGGAGCGUAUCUGGACAACAUAGAUAACUUAUAAUGUGCUUCCACAAGACAUGGGGGUUAGAUAAAAGUUAUAAUAAUAAUUAGUAAAUGAAAGAAUUCUAGCAUGUUUGGUAUCUAAAUAACAUAGCAAAAAUGAACAAGAGUACACGAAAACAUCAAUUAUCACACGAGUCAUAUUGGCUAGUAUUUAAUCAAUAAACCAACAAUAAAUGACUAUAAACAUAUAAAAUGACAUAUUCAAAGAGACCCAAACAUAAAGAGCCUAGAACACAAGCUUACACUAAAUUUAGAAAACUAAAACAUGGAAUUUUAAAAGCAUAAAUUAGCAAACAAAUUGAUGGAAACUAAAUUUAGAUAACUUAAGAAUAUUUUUCUUAUCCUUCAAUUUAAAUCAGUAAGCCAACAAUAAAAAAUUAUAGAAACAUGGAAUAUCAAGAUCAAUGGGAUACCUAAACUAUAAUUUUUAAAAGAAAAUAAACUAAGCAUAAUAUCUACAAAGCAACUAAACUAACAUUUUUUUAAAAAUAAAUUAAACAUGACAUUAAUGGAGUAACCAAACUAAAUUAAAGUAAACUAAAAACAUUUAUGAAUUUUCAAACAUGGAAUCAGCUUUCUUAGUAAAUUAAAAUUAUUAAAAUAAAAUCUAAGCUUAAAAAUGAAUUAAAUACUAACUAAAGCAAAUCUAAAACCAAAUAUUUAACACAUAGGAUCAAUUAUAUUAACAAACUAAAAUUUUAUAAGAACACUUAAACCUAAAGUUGAAUUAAAAACUAACCAAUUUUUAAAACUAGAUCUUUAACCCAUAGGAUCAAUUAUAUUAACAAAUAAAUAAUAAAUAAUAAAUAAAUAAAACUCAAACCUAAAGAUGAACUAGAAAUGUACCAAAGUAAAUUCAAAACAAGAUCUUUAACACAUUAGAUCAAUUAUAUUGACUAACUAAAAAAAAAAAAAAAAAACACUCAAACCUGAAACGAUGUAUUAGAAACUAACCAAAGCAAAUUUAAAAUAGAGUCUUUAACACAUAGGAUCAAUUAUAAUCACUAACUUAAAUUACAAUUUUUGAAACAUGAACUAAUUAGUGUUGGAUUAAUUAAACUAAUUAACUAAAAAAAACUAUAAACUAGAAUACGGUGAAUCAAGAAUUCAAAUCAACAAACAUAAAAUAUGGGUACAAUGAAAUGAAAAUCUAUUAAACUAAUAAGACGGAAAUAUGACAAACUCAUGAACCCACAUUUUGAUCAACUAGGAAAUAGAAAUUAAUAGACCUGUAGCAUGGAUACAAUGAAAUGAGAUCAGUUAAAUUUAUUUGCCGAAAUUCUAAAAAACACAUACACUCAAAUAAGAUCUAAAUCUAAGACCAAGCAAAACUCAAACUUUCUCAAUCUAAUGCAAUGAAUCAAAACUAAAAUUAAAUAGAAAUCAAACCAUUUUUUUUUUAUCUAAUAUAAUAAAUCAAAGCUAAAACUAAACAAAAUCGAAUUUUCUUAAUUUAAUAUGAUGAGUCAAAGCUAAAAUUGAACAAAGUUCAAACCUUUAUAUAAUGGAUCAAAGUUAAAUCUAAAUGAAAUCCAUACUUCCACAAUUUGAUAUAACAAAUCAAAAAUAAAACUAGAUAAAAAAAAAGUCAAAGCCUUUCAACUUGACAUAGUGAAUCCAAACUGAAACGAAACAAAAUUUUAACUUUUCCAAUGAAACCCAAUAUAGAAAAAAUUAGCUUACCUUCUUUAGAAUAUAUGUAUGGGCCAUAAAGAAGUCACCUUGGUGCAUGUGUUCCUCACUUUGACGCCAAUGGACGACUUUCUAUGGUAGCAAAUGGAGAUCCUUUUUGGUGGUAACUUGCGUGUGGAAACCUAUGGUACAACCAAUGUCAUCUUUUAUUGUGCGUGUGGACCAAUUUCUUCUCGAGAACUCAUGUGUGUUGUGCUCAAAAUAUGUUGCCUGUGAGAAUCUAUUGGUAUACCCCACAUAUGGUUUCCUUGAGAGAAUCUGUGGUUGUGUGUGGGCGUUUUCUUCAUGACAGCAUGUGGAUGUUCCCAUCUAUGGUAGAUUGGUUGUGAUGCUUUAGUGCAUGGUCUCCAUAGGAAUAGUGUGUUAUGGAAAUUUGGUUUUUUUAUUGGUGCAUGUUGUCUAGACUUUCCCAUAUGCGUGGACUGUGUGUUCAUGCUUUUCUUUUCGGAUGGUCGCCUGUGUUAAUGUGUGGCGGUGUCUACAAUGAAAGAUACAACCCUUUCUCUCCUUCUGCGUGAUAGAAAAGUCAAUCCCCCAUGGUGCGACUAUGUUCCCUCGUCCUUUUUGAAAAAUUUUGGUGUUUUCCCCCCAAAAAAUCCCCUCCAAAAAUCUAAUUAUAAAUGUCUGCUUUGGCCUAAUGUGUGUGCUACUUUUUUUUUCCUUCUUUUUAUGGUUGUGCGUGCUUUUCUUGAUACGUGGCUUAUUUCUUAAGGAUAUGAUUCGCUCCCAAUUGGUGUCUCAGCUGAUUCAUGUCCUUUCAAUGGUCCCUGACAGUGGUGCCAUUUGAUUCGUGUCCAGCUGGUGUCCCUUGAUUGUGGUCCUCAGAAGGGAGUAAUCAAUAAAAUUUAUAACCUAUUACACCAUGUAUUAGGAUAGCCUUAGCUAGCAUAGCAUAGUGGCUCUAGGGUCGUUUAUUGGGAUGAGUUUUCACUUCACAAUUGAUAUUAAUUCAAGAGCUGAAUUGGUGCCUUUUCAUUUCAAGGUUAGCUUUAAAAGAAAACAUAAUCUUUGGUGGAAAAAGGUUUGGUUUUAAACUAACCAAAAAUAGUAACUGAUUUUACUUACAAAGAAAAGUGUUCUUUGGAGUUUAGAUCACUAGGCUCAGGUUCCUCAUACAAAAAGGAGAGUUCCGAUCAUUUGUUUCUUUUCCUCGCAUUAGAGAAUUAACAUAUAGUUAAUUCUCUAACCGGUGCGGUACAUAUGCUUCCCAUUAAUGGGUUCAAACACUAAAUACCUCUCACUGAUGCACCUUGCAAUGGCUCGUGCCUCUCACCUAGCAUUUAUCAUUCAAGGUGAUCUUUAACCUUGGAUUACCCAUCAAAAGCUCGCAAGAGAUAACUAAAGGAUGUCUCCUUAGAGUCCAAAAGCUUACCAAGUGUUGGUUAUUCUAGAAAAUCCUACCUUCAAACCACCUCCCAAAGGCUCGCAAGAGAUAAACAAGUGCAUCUCAAUGGAUGAAGAUCACUUGCCUUACCAAGUUUUGGCCCAGAUGAUUUAAUGACAUUUUAAGUUAACUAAAAAGAUAAAAACCAUUAACGGGUCACACUUUCUCUUCAUUAAAAACUAAAACAACAAAACUUCCAAUUUAUGCAUGAGGAAACUUACCUGGCUUUCUUCACUUCAAGAGAUGAAGAGCCUAGCCACUCAUCAUUUGAGGAAAAAUCCUCAGAGUUUGAUUUGCUAGAAAUAAAAAUAAUGAGAAAACAAAAAUAUAUAUAUGAAAAACAGAGCAAGUUCUCUGUAAUAUAUUUUUCUUCCUUAUACAAAAGGUUGUCUCUAAGAACAAGUUCCCGAGAUCUAUCUGAUUGUAAAUAAAAUUACAACUAUAUAUAAGAGGUUAUUCACCCCUUUGUUCUUUCUUAAAGACUAAGGAAUCCUAUGAUAGGUGGGUUACAAGGAGAGUUUGGGGAUUUAGACAUCAAAUAUCUAAAGCAAAAUAUCUCAAGAUGUUAGUCGGAAAUAUCAGGAAGCUUCAGGAGAACACCGCGACACUGUAUACUGAGAGAAAAACUCUCCGGGUAAGCUCUAUCAAAGGAUCCAGACAUGUCUGACUGGGAAAGUUGAAACGUCCUUCUCUCCCAUCCGGAUGUGAGAUAUCCGGAGAAAGUGAAAUGUCGGUCGGACAGAAUUCUUUCCCCGGGUGGAAUGAGUUGUGUUGCGCGUCGCAAGGGGGACCGUCUGCGUGUACAAGUUGUAGGGACCCCUCUCCCGGAUGACACCGAGCGCGUAAGGCUAUCCGGAUCAACUCCAUUCGGAUUCCCCAAGAGGACAUGUGGCGUGCUCCCCUAUCAGGACUCCCUUAGGGAGAAGCACACGACACUCGUGAACAUCAUACCCGGACGAUAGCAUGUCCUAUCCGGAUGUGUUGUCCGGAUCAUUGACUAAAGUGAGCAAGCCUUGCUACGUCAUUCGGACAGCUUGCCACAUACCAUGUUCCGUCGCCAUCUGAUGGUGUGUCCGAACGCCUUGUCCGGACAUCUUUUGCUCCUUGCAUUCCGGAUUUGCUUAUGACAAAGGACUUCAAAGCUUCGGUUCUUCAUGUUUCUGAGCUUUCCAUUGCUUUGCCAUGGAUUCCAAAGAACUCUCCUUAAUCACGGAUUGCUUUGGUGAUCAAAAAGUUAUCAAAACACAAAAACUUAACAUAGUUUGAUUAGAAUUGAUUGCAAGGGUUCUUAAUAUGUUAAUUGGGUUAAAAGGUGAUAACUACUACUCAAAAGUGUUUAUAAGAAUUAAUUACAAGCUAUGAAAUAACACUUUUUGAGUAGUAAUCAGGAUACAUCCUAGUUUUUCAUGGAAUUGAUAGUGGGUUGUUGUGCAUGAAUGCCACCAUUUCAACUAUGCUGUUGUUAUUUUUAAAAAAAAUAUGGAUUAUGCGCGAGUGGCAAUUCUCCACUAUGGAAAGUGGAUUGCUCCUUCAACCCAUGCAUGGCUACGUAUUCCUAUGUCUUUCUACUUGUGUUUGAUCCUCCAAAAAAAAUUUCGGUUUAGUGCUAGUAGAUUUUAAGUGGUGGAUCCCCAUUUUUUGAAAAUGAAGUGGCAGCCUCCCAUUUCAAGACAAAAUGGUAGCCUGCCUUUAAUCUUUGGAGAAAAAUCUGUGCAUGACCUUUUUUUUUCCCAAAAAAUCCGUGCAUGGUGUCCUUUAAUAUUUGGAGAAAAAUCUAUGUUGGAUCUUUUCUUUUCUAGAAACAUUUGUGUGGUCUUUUUUGUUAGCCCAAGGGUUCUUCUAAUCAAGUUUUGAUGAUAACAAACCAUGGUUAAGUGACUAAUUGGUUUAAUGAUUAAGAAUCUCAAACAUAAAAUCGAAAAUUCAUCAAAGGACCAAAUGGAUACAAGAUCGAGACGCUUGGAAGACUUGUAAUCAUAGGAAACUAAUGUAAGAUGAAUGCAUGAGUGCACUUAGGAUUUUCACACGUUUCAUGCAACUUAGAAAACCCAGUUUAUUCUUUAAAACUUCAUCCCAGUUUAUUCUUUUUAUGGUUGUGUGUGCUUUCCUUGAUACGUGGCUUAUUUAUUAAGGAUACAUCCCAGUUUUUCAUGGAAUUGACAGUGGGUUGUUGUGUGUGAAUGCCACCAUUUCAACUGUGCUGUUGUUAUUUAAAAAAAAAAAAAAUGGAUUGUGCGCGAGUGGCAAUUCUCCACUAUGGAAAGUGGAUUGCUCCUUCAACCCAUGCAUGGCUACGUAUUCCUAUGUCUUUCUGCUUGUGUGUGAUCCUCCAAAAAAAAUUUUGGUUUAGUGCUAGUAGAUUUUAAGUGGUGGAUCCCCUUUUUUUGAAAACUAAGUGGCAGCCUCCCAUUUCAAAACGAAGUGGUAGCCUGCCUUUAGUCUUUGGAGAAAAAUCUGUGCAUGACUUUUUUUUUCCCAAAAAAUCCAUGCAUGGUGUCCUUUAAUAUUUGGAGAAAAAUCUAUGUGGGAUCUUUUAUUUUCUAGAAAAAUUUGUGUGGUCUUUUUUGUUAGCCCAAGGGUUCUCCUAAUCAGGUUUUGAUGAUAACAAAUCAUGGUUAAGUGACUAAUUGGUUUAAUGAUUAAGAAUCUCAAACAUAAACUCGAAAAUUCAUCAAAUGACCAAAUGGAUACAAGAUCGAGACGCUUGGAAGACUUGUGAUCAUAGGAAACUAAUGUAAGAUGAAUGCAUGAGUGCACUUAGGAUUUUCACACGUUUCAUGCAAUUUAGAAAACCCAGUUUAUUCUUUAAAACUUCAAUUUCAUUAAAACCCGAGUUUUUAACUAAUGUACCUUAGGCAAAAUGUUUUAUAAUUGGCUUAAUAAUUCACCUAAAUACAUUUUCUAAGUGUUAGAAAAGAAAGGAAUUAAAAAAAGGUUUUCGGGGCAAAAAAGGCUCAACCGGUCGAGGCUAUGGUCAACCGGCUCAACCGGUUGAGGAACCAAUCGAUCGGUUGUGCUUGUCCGAUCGAAGACCAAUCGAGGGAUGCCAAAAAAUUUCUCUCUCUCCUAGUGGCCUUCUCUUCCCGGUCGAGGUUCGGUCUAGGCAACGGUAACAUGUCAAGCAUUAAAUGCUCCGACGACUAGUGAAUCGGUCGACCCCUAGCCCGAUCGGACGAGGUUGCCUUUUGCUGUUUUUGACUCCCGAGCUUAGAAACCUAUAAAUUGAGAGCUCCACUUCAUUUAUUGAUAAAAGAGAACACUUGCAUUCAAUAGUCUACCUACCUUUUCUUGAUCAAAAAGCUCUCAUUUCCUUCAUAGUGCAUUAAAUCAUCACUUGCAUAUCCUUUAGUGCACUAUUGUGUGUCAUCCUAGCUUUGUUUUGUAUUUGAGCUAUCCUUAAGCUAGGUUGAGGGAUUAUUUCUUAUAAAAAUCUGAGUGUUAAAGCCUUCAAGAGAUUUGAAUCUUGAAGAGAUUGUGUAAGAGCCCAUUGGAGCCGGAGUCCAAGUGUAAGAAGAUUGGAAGCUUGGUUGAAGCUUCAAGUUAGUGGAACCCUCACUCGGUUAGGAGGUUGAGGAGAGUGGACGUAGGUAAGGAAGUGUCGAACCAUUAUAAACCCGAGUUUGAAUUCUCUAACUCUAUCUCUUUAUUUUGCUUAUAUUGUGUUUGAAUUUGUUGUGAUUGAAAAGAUUUUAAAAACCUAAUUCACCCUCCCCCCUUUUGGGUUUUUUUUUCUUAAUUAAGCAUAACCUUUGUUUUCUAAUUUUCUUUUUAGGAAAAUCCAUGCGUGGUAUGUCCAAACUCUCCAAGUGGCAGUCUGCCUUCUUCUAAAAAAUUUGUUUCUAUUUCUUUAUUCGACUACCUUCCAUGUCUUCCUAAUGAGUGCUUGUGCUCAAUGGUCAAUCCCUGGUGGUUGCCUCCUUUUCCCAUAUAUACGUGUUGCAAAAUCAACAUCCCACUAUAUGUGGGUUGCCUCUAUGGCAAGUUCACAUUUCCCACAUGAAACCUAUGAGUUUCCACCAAAAAUUGCCAUGAAAAAGUCUUUAUAUGCAUCUCAUGCAAUAAAAAGUCAAGCCAAUACUCAUCUUAUCUCGAAAAAUAAGUAACCAAAAUCAAGAUCAUGCCUAAGUGAACUAUGCCAAAAGAAGUGUCCAAGUGACCUAUUAUGAAAAAAGUGCCUAAGUGACCUAAGGUGAAUGUGUGUAAGCUGGAAGGUGUCUAGGAUGUUUAGGACAAUGCCUAAGCCUAAAAUAGGGUUGCCAAGGGUCACAAUGGGGUUAGAUAAAUCUCUCAAUCAGAGUCUCCAAGGUGGCUCAUAAAAGAUAAGCUACACGAGUAAUGAUGGGCCACCAGGGAAUUAUUGUAAAGCACCAAACGAACACAUAAUAGGACAUGUGUUAGAAUGAAAAAAUGGAGGGUUUACAAGUGGUCUCAUGGAUGAGCUUGAUAAUUUAAAUGACUCACAUAAUGAACGUAUGUGAUGUUUCUCUCCAAUAACAAGCAAAACAUCACUAGCAAUAUGAUGAAUGUCUCCUAAAUCACUUGAAGUAGUCCUAGCAAAUCAAUUAGAAAAAUCACACAUAUUGCUCUAAUGUAAUAUUAUAUACAUCUGUCAAUGAAUGGGAGAACUAAUGACACAACCAUCAUGUUGAUAUCUCGAACCCUCUAAUCUCAUAUGUAGGUGGGAUCACACUUAGAAACUCAUAACACAGUAAUGACCAAUCUAAGUCAAAAUGUGUUGGUGAUCGGAGGCCCAUGAAUAUGAAGUUCUAGGAUGAUAAUGACAUCUUAUAAAGUAAUGAUCAUCUCCUUAAUAGAUAGGUGAAAUGUGUGUGUCUUAGGACACCAUCUCUCAACAAGACUUGUGAUCAAUCCCCAGUCUAGUGUAACAUGCCUAUUAUGACAUCCAUCGUAAAAUCUAGACUAGAUAAUAUAAGGACAAAUGUGAGGGUUCAUCUCCCUUUCCCACAUAAAUUUAAAAAAUUAUUAUUGACAAGUUAAGACCAAACUAAGUUGCAAAAUAUAAAUAAGUCCAUUAGAUAACAAAUUUAUGUUUUCUCAUUUUCUCAUUUUUAAAGAGAUAUUAUGUGCUUCCAUGUACAUACAUGCUAAAGUCAAUUAUACGAGACUUAUAUCCAUCUUGUAGAACCAAAUCGAACCUAUCUAAUAGAUCCAGAUUAGAAGUAUGUCCUCUAUACUCCAUAUUUAUAACACAUUUAUAAAGAUAAAUGCUAAAAAAAUGUUAAAGAUAUAAAUUUAAUGAACCAUACUUUAUGAUUUUAAUUCUCAAUUAUUGUUCAUAUUUAUAAGAGAAAAGUUAAAAAAAUUGAUAGAGUUUUCCCUCUAUCAUGGACAUUAUCCCAAAUAAAAAUAAAUUGAUUAUGCAAAUUACAUUAAUAUUUGUAACCAAAUGAUCAAUAACUAUCUUGUAUCAAUUUAGUAAAUAAAUUUAAGUAUAUCUUUUCAUUUAUGACUAACAAAUAACUCAUACUUGUCCAAUAAAAGCCACACCUAAUUUCUAAAAUUUUGUCUUCACCUCAAGUGAGUGUUACAUUGAGAAAGAAAAAAUAUGAAAGAAAAAAUGAACACCUUUUUCUUUUAAUAAAAAAAGGCCAUAACGAAACAUUAAAUCUCACUGUUACACCUAUCUUCAAUGGAAACAUGAGGAUGUGAAUGGUGGCGGUGAUAUUCUUUGCUUGAAGCUCAUAAACAAAUAUUCCUUACUAAGCCUAUGCCAUUUAGUAUUUCAAUAGUGGACCCCCCCCCCCCCCCCCCCCCCCUCCUUGCAUUUCAGAUUUAGCAAACUUAGAACCAAAUAACAAAGUGCAUUUGAACCCAUAAAGAAGUAAUGAGACUCUCCUAUAUUGGCAAUAGAAGAAAUUUUUGGAGGUAUAGGAGAUUCACGGAUGAAGAAGUUGGGCCCCAAUUGAGAUAAGACCCAAGAAAAGAUGGGGUAGAGAGGGAUGGUUGGAAAUUGUAAAGUAAGAUUUUCAAAAUGUAGUUGAUGACUAAGAUUUUGACAAUUUAAAAAAGGUUUAAAAAUGUAGUUAGCAAUCGGGGUUUUGUAACAUUUAAAAAAUAAAAUAAAAUCUCAGGCCACAUGGUAGCCCAUGUGAUUCAGAAGCUUGAGAAUUAUUUUAUAAGAAGACUUAAUUUGUGAUUUUUUUAUAACUAUAUUAUUUUUUUUCUUAACACACGAAAAAAAUUAUGAAAUAAGACAAUUUUCCUAAGAAAGCAUGUAAGUGACUCUUGGUUAUUUUAUUUAACUUCUUCUAGUUUGGAGAGGAUUAAUACCUUUGCUUUUACUCACUUGCUUGGAUAUGUACACGUUGUUCAUGUCACUUUUCAUUUAAUUUUCUGAUUAAGGGAAUUGGAACCGUACGUAACUGUCUUUAUUCCCUCUGAAACUUGGACUUGGAGUUGGACUUUCAAUCUCAUCAGUCGUGUUUCCAUAAAAAAGAAGAUGGAUUAACCAAUUUUCCUAUGCCUACUAAUCAUACACAAAACUCCACUUCCAAAUAAAAAGGAAUGGGAUAUCACUUGUUAAUAGUGGCUAAAGACUAUUAAUAACCAUGCAAAGAAAUGUCACAUUUUUUGUUCUACGCAAAUUUUAUUCAUCAACUACUAGAACCAUUUCAUACAAUAGUAGCUUUUCGAUCCUUUGAUAAAUGGACACUUGAUGUGAUAACACCAACUACACCUAUAUAUUCAAGCAAUCAUGCGUAUAUAAUAGUGGAUAUGGAUUACUUCUCUAAAUGGGCAAAAGUUUUGUCAUUCAAGGAAAGUGAACGAGGAAACACAAGUUUACUUUCAUCGGAACUAAUAUUAUAUAUUGAUAUGACUUCCCAUUAUUACUUACGAUGGAAUAUGCUUCCAUAAAAUGGCCUAGAUGAACAAACUAUCCAAGAAGUUUGGGAUCAAAUAAUAUAUAUAUAGUUCAUGUGUGAUUCUUUGGUUGACAACCUUGUUAAGGGGUGAGUGAAGCACUUUGGGCAUACCACAUACUACAUGCUAGACUUCCACCCAAGCUACCCUAUAUUCCUUAUGAACAAAGUAGAAGUUGUCAUCUCUCUUGAAUACCAAAUCCUUUCACCUAAUAAUGCUAUCUAAAAAGGUCUUAAAAAGGAUAAAAAUGCGCAUAUUUGAAUUUUUGAAUUAGGAGUGCUACUUAAAAAGAAGCUAGAUAUACAAUAAUAGAAUGUUAUCAAGCAUAUCUCUUCAAAGUUUUUGACCAAAAAAUAUAUGAUUUCUCAUUUUAGGUAGGAGACUUAGUACUCACUAUUCAAAAACCAAUUAUCAUUACUCAUAAAAACUAAUAGAAAGUUUGGGCCAAAGUAGGAUGGACCUUAUAUUAUGCAACAAUUAUGCCUAUAAAAUUGUUGCAAAAGAGGUUUUAGAAUCAAAUCAAUGAAUGAAAAAUUAUUAAAGCAUUACUAUGCUUGAAGGCUAGUCAUUUUCCCUUAAAGUGCAAUAUUAAGUUGCAUAGUACUAUGUGGAUCCGCAUUUUUCACAUGCGUUCCCACUCAUUGUCGAGACUCACUUUUUAGAAGUGAAAAAUUAGUUUUAUUAAAGUCGAAGUUGCCACUGGGGAUUUGAACCCUAACAAAAGGUUCAAUUUAAGGAUAAAAAUAUCGAUAAUCACAUAUAUAUAUAUUGGUACUUUGAUUUUAUGAAUAUAUUGAAGAAAUAUGGACAAAUAUUUUGACACAAAAUAUGUACAAAAUAAAAAUUAUAUAAAAAGUAAAAAUAAAUAUUUUAAAAUUAUUUUUUUAAAUAUAUAUAUAUAUAAUUUGACAUAUUUGAUAAUAAUAUAUAAGGGUCUCCAAAAAGCCCGUGGCCCGCUUUAGGCCCGGUCCGACCCGACAGGCUAAAGCCCGGCCCAAGCCCGCCGGGCCCAAGCUCGGCCCGAGCCCGUUUAUGGGUGGGCCGGGCCGCGAGCCCGUAGGCCUGCUCCUUUAAAAAAAAACUACAAAAAUAAAAAGUAUUAAAAAAAAUAUUCAUUUCAAAAUUUUAUUCAUUGAAUGUAUAAUUACAUUUGAAAAUGUGGGAAAAGUUUACAUCACUACAAAAUAAAUACAUCCCAACUAGGUUGGCACCUAUUUAUUUGUCAAUCAUCUGUAUUUUUCAACCACAAAAAAUAAAAAUAAAAAUAUAAUAUACAUUUAGUCAUUAUUUUCUGGCGGUGAUGGCGAACUAUCAUGCAUCCAUGAAGAUCUUGAUAAUUUUAAAGAUUCCAUAUCGGUAAGCAUCUUUGUUUCUCGAAUGGAAUCAUACAUCCUUUUAUCUGCUAUUUCCCAAUCUUUCACACAUAUCCCUGCUUUAAUAACAUCUGACGCUAAGUUGCAUCGUUUUUUACUAACUACUCUUCCACCUGCACUAAAAGCAGCUUCUGAUGCAACUGUACUCACAGGAACUGUUAGUACAUCACGAGCAAUUAUAGAAAGCACAGGAUAUUUGUGUUGAUGUGAUUUCCACCAUAUUAAAAUAUUAAAAUCUUCUUGAUCUUCAAAUGAAAUUAUAUCAGUAUUAAGAUAUUUAUCUAAAUCAGAUGUAUUAUUUGGAGAAUUAUUUGUUGUCUUUUUUCGACUUUUCAACAUUUCUAGAGCUCCUUUAUAAAAAGAUGAGGAGUUUGUAGAUGUAGGUGGUAAUUUAAUAGUAUUAAUAUCAUUACCAUAUUUUUCUUUAUAAUAGUUAUAUAAAUUAUAUAAUAAUGAAUUUAUUUCAUUUUUAAUUUCUUCAAUUUUUAUUUGGUCAUUAAAAUAAAUAAUUGUUAACCAUUCAUCCAAAGCUUCAAAUUUCAAUCUAGGGUCCACAAUUAAAGCAAUAUAAAAAAUUAAAGGUAUUUCUCCCCAAUAUUUUCUAAAUUUUUAUAUCAUUACAAAUAUUGUAUCAUUAAAUAUUUCAAAACUUAAAUAUUUUUGAAGUACAAUAAAAAUAUUAGUUAUUUGCGUAAUAACUCGAUUUGAAGUUGGAUAAUAUACACCACAAAAAAUGUUUGUUGAAGUAUCAAAAAUUUCAAAAAGAUCUCUUAAAACAUCCGCAAUAUGCCAAUCAUAAUCAUUUAAUGCAUAAAUAUCUGCUUCAUAAUCAUUGUUAAUUAAUUGUAUUUCAUAUAAUUCGACUACUUUUCUAUAUUUUGUAAUAUUUUCUAAAAGUUUAUAUGUGGAAUUCCAUCUAAUAGCCAUAUCCAAAUUUAUAUUUUUUCUUUUCAUAUUUAACAUUUUGCAACAAUCAAAAAAUAAUUCAUGUUUUGCUUGAAAACUAUUAAUACUAUAUGCAAUGCCUCUAAUUUUUUUCCAAUGUACUAUCAACAUUUUUUAAUCCAUCCUUUACAAUUAAAUUUAAAAUAUGUGCACAACAACGCACAUGAAAUAUUUUAGCAUGAUCUUCUUUUACUUGCCAAUAUCGUUUUAGUCUAUGUAUUGCUGCAUCAUUAUUAGCAGCAUUAUCUAAUGUUAUUGUCAAUAUUUUAUCACGAAUGCCUAAAUCUAUAAUUUCAUCAUUUAUUAAAGAUGCUAUAUUUUUACCACUAUGUGGAGUAUUUAUUAAUUUAAAUAAAAUUAUUCUUUUAUUUAAUUUCCAUUCAUUAUCAAUGUAGUGAACAAUUAUAUAUAAAAAACCAGUAUGAGUUAAAGAUGUCCAAAUGUCAGAUGUUAAACGAAUAUUUCCUUCAAAAUUUGCAAAAUUUUUUUUUAAAAUUUCUUUUUGUGUAUAAAUUUUUUUCAUAAUAUCUCUUUUAACUGUAUUUCCAGAUCAACCUUUAAAUUGAGGAUUAAUACCUCGUUGAAUUGUUCUUGCAAAAUCAUGAGUUUCCAUCAUGUUGAAAGGUUGUUCUGCUCUUAUUAUAUAAUCAAUCAUUUCUUCACAACAGUUAGAUUCAUCAUAAGAAAAUGUUUUUAAAUUUCCACUUUCAUUUUUACUUAAUUGCAUAUAAUUUCUAAUAUCUACAUUAUUUUUAGUUUUACAAUUUUCAUGAUGUCUUUUUAAAUGACUUGUAUCUGCAUUUGAGCCACCAGUAAGAAAUUUAUUACAAAUUUUACAUUUUGCUUUUAUUUUUUUUUUAUUAUUUUCUAAAAUUAUUUCUAUUCUAUCAAAAAAAUUCCAUAUAUUUAAAGUAAAUUUUUUGUUUGAUGAUAUUUCAUCACAUGGACUAGACGAAGAAGCACUUGUCAUAUUAUAAUUAUUGAUAAAAUAUUAUGCCAAAAAUAAUAAAGUAAUAAAUAUAAAAAAAAAUGUAACAAAAAAAAUAAAGUAGUAGGGGUGAAGUAUGUUACUCAAUUAGAGAACCUAUGCAGAAAUUCCUAGCAAAUUUGAACUCUUGGAGCCACCAAUGCUUGUUUUGCACCAUCAACAAUAUUGUAUAAUUUGAGGGAAAAAUAAAAGAAUUUAAAAUAUUGUAGAAUGUGAGAGAAAUAGAGAGAAUUUGAUGAAAAAAUGAAAAGGAAGAAAAUGUAUUUAUAGGAAGGUUAAAAAUAAUAAUAAUAAUAAUAAUAAUAAUAAUAAUAAUAAUAAUAAUAAUAAUAAUAAUAAUAAUUGGCCAUGUGACCGUUGGAGGCUUAGCUCCAACGGUCACAUGGGCUGGAGCUAGGCUCCAACAGUCACAUGACCGUUGGAGCCUUUAAUUUUUUUUUUUAAAAUAAUAUACUUUAUUUUUAUAUAUAUAUAACUAACUCAAUUAAUAAACAUAAAAAGAAUAUAGUUCAGUUGGUUAGAACCUUGAAGUUUAAACAUGAGGGGAGGGGUUUGAAUCCCUCCCUCUCCCUUAGGGGCUUUUUUAAAAGCCAUUUUGGCUUAUUUCAAAAAGCCUGUCGGCCCGACCCGCCCUGCAGCCCGCGGGCCUAGCAUUUUAGCAUGGCCUGGUCUGUUGACUAGUCAAAUGGCUCAUAGGCUCGGCCCGAACUGGGCCGCGGGCCUCUUAUUUACGGACCGGCCCGACCCGGCCCGCCCGUUGGAGACCCUUGAUAAUAUCUUCUAUAUUAAGUUACAUUAUAGUUUAUUUUACAAUAUUAUUAUGAUAAUAUGUCUAAUUUUAAAAUAUAUUUAAUAUUAAAAUUAUGAUCUAUUUUAAUUUAAAUGUAUUCAAUGAUAUCAAAUAAAUAAUAAUAUAUGUAUAAUUCUUUUAUUAUUUAUAUUUAUUAUUUUUAAUAAAUAUAUAGAUUAUAUAAAAAAGACCGGAUAUAUCUUUUCAAAUUUUGUAUCGCUCUCCAAGGAUAUUAGAUGUAUGGGAAUUUGUAUUGCUAUCUACGGAUACGUUGAUAUAUGGGUGAUUUAUCAGGAUAAUUAGAAAUUCUAAUUAUGUAAGCAGGUACGGAGUUCUGUGUCGGUGCGAUCUUGUCGACAACAGCUCCAAAUUGUGCAUCUUGCUCAUAGAGAGUAGCGGAAUGCACCAAUCGUAGGCUCAGAGUACCACUGAGUCGUCUGGCAGAGACCCAACUGAAGGUGCCUGUGUUGUUCCUGAUCUGAUCAGGCUUCAAACUACAAGGUGGAAUACUGGUUCCCCUAUAUCAGAAGCUGGAGAUACCCACCCCAUAUGCUCGUCUGGAUGUGCUCCUACCCUUUGAAGCCUUCUUCCGAGUCAAGUCCGAAUUGAUAAGGCUAGUGAGUUCCCAACCAACUGUACUCAGCAUGCUGCCAGGUGGAGACCCUCCAUAUUUGAUGGCUUCCUAAUAUUAAAAUGCUGACCACUGGUCUUCAUGUUCCACAGGCUUAAUUGUGUCCUUUGCUGAAAGAAUGGAUAGUGAUCCAUUUUAACACAUGAUUCACGCCGUCUUUGCCAUUCUUCAUGGUCUAGCCCUUUUAUAUAUAUGCUUCCUGAACUGUUGCUAUUAAUAAAAUGUGGUAUCUAUCCCGUACACCUUCCUGAUGGCCAGCGAAUGCAGAAGCUACAGAAACGGUUCCAUCUUUUGCUUCCGCCACUUUGGCAUCCUCCAUGAUGAGAUCGAAGGUGAAUAAUCAUAUUCUGGGGAUUUAUGUCCUGGAUAUUCUCAGUAAUGCCCAAUUUCCUGGUGCCGGCCUCAUUUCCAUGGGAACUGAUGGAUAACUUAAGGCUUCUACCAUCUGCGUGGUUCGCUUCUAACACAGGAAACUUCACGGCUAAAAGCAAGAUACCAAGAACAUCAAGGCUGUGACAAAAAUUAGUAUUUUUAACUUGUAGGAAUUUGAAAGGCAACCAACCAUCUAGCUCUGUUCUUAAAGCUCCCAUAGGAGGAUCAGAGGCUGGAUUGCUCAAGAUGAACUCAUCCAUUGUUGCACUUAAAAAGAAUUGGCAUGAAUUGUGGCCGCUCUAAUAGGUUCCCUAAACCAUCAUCCAAGUGGGCUUGCGGAAGGUAGCGAGUUUAAAACACCUAGGGCGAUGAACAGUGGACUGUGAUGCUCACAAAAGAGAAAAGGAAGAAUUCAAUAAUUCCUAAGAAUCCAUUUGCCUGUCAUCCAAAUUUUUAUAUUCUCUUCAGUCUGACGCGUUAUGCCAUAUAUUAAAAAUAGCGGCUUCUUCCAAGCCGAGACAGACUGUGCAAAGUUCGCAAGGCCAAUCAUCACCAUAAUCUGAAGUUGGCCUCCUCAAUCGCAGCUUGUAUCCGAAUGCUCACUUCACGGGAUGGAUUGUAAUGAAAACUAAUCUCAGUCCCAGCUAUGGCAGCAUCCUCACUUGACAGCAUUUUCUGCAUAUUCUAGAACAAAGCAAUAAACCCUCAAAGGCUCCUUCGGAUCAGAGUUAGAAGACUGUCCCUCAGGAACGUGAACACUAUGGUGGUUCUGAUAAGCAGUGAUAUUGCAUUAGAGCCUUUUGGAACAAGAGGAUCUUUUCAGGUGGAAACUGUAAACUGCUUCAUGUUGGGCUGCAACCUUUUCUUCAAGCAAUACUUUCUUUCUGUAUCACGACUUAUGUUGCUUCCGGAGCCAUCCCGUGUGGACUGCCCUUCAGUGAAAGAAUAUGUGUGUUGACAUGUUGGAUUGUAAUCUUUGUUCCACUCUAAUGGCUUUUGGUCCUCCUCUUUCUCUUUAUGACAGAGAACCAUUUAGUGAUCCAUCUCUAUAUUGUAGCAUUGCUGGUGCUUUGCAAUACUACACUCUCACCAAGCAUAACAUCUAUUUUUCCGUGACCAAAGUAUGUCGGUUUAUGCAUGCGCAAACUCUUAUUCAUUGGCAAGUUGUCAAGCGUAUCUCAUGAUUUCCCAAAGCCACAAGUUCUUAUGGUCUUUCUGUUCAAGCUUACAAUGAUCUAUCUUUUCUUGGUUAUACUGAUGUCGAUUGGGCUAGUUGCCCUGAUAACAAGCACAAUACUAGUGGGUACAACACUUUUCCUGGUCCUAAUCUCAUUUCAUGGGCAUUUUCAAAGCAGAAGGUUGUGUCUCACUCCAAUAACGAAUCUGAAUAUAGGGGACUCACUAAUUAAUGUUGUUGCCAAGGUCACUUGGAUUGAAUCUGUCUUACGUGAGUUGCGUGUUUCUCUACCCCAACCACCAAUUUUGUUGUGUGACAACAUUAGUGCUACACACUUGGACAAACCAUGUUGAAAUACACUAUCAUUUUAUCCAUGAAAGGCUUAUGCAUCACACACUCAAAAUUCAAUACACCUCUUCUAUAGACCAACUAGUCAAUGCUAUGACCAAAGCUCUUCCUUCAUCUCACUUGUACAAUCUUCAGUGCAAGCUGAUUGUUCUUCCCAAACCACUCAACUUGAGGGGAGAUGUUAAGCCAAUUUAAUAAAUUGAUUUCUUUUGGUUAAUUUGUUAGAAUCAUUUUUAUUAGAGGUUUGUUUGUACAAUUACAUCCAUUUAUCAGGAGAGUACACGUGUACAACUCCUCUUUUAAUCUCACCAUUGUAUAUAUAUGAUACACGACCUUACUCAGAAUUGCAUAACAUUUCCUCUGCUCAUUCCUUUUCUUCUUUGAAUUUUCCCUUACCUCACUGAUUUUGAUUUAUACCUGGUGUUUUCACCUUUGGUCUCUACCUUUCUAGCCAGUUUUCUAAUUAAUCCGUAUAUGGUAUACCUGUCAACUAAUGAGGAGAAAGAGAAAAGGGGAUUGCUGUUCCACCAGCUACAUAUAAUAAUUAAUUACAAUCAUGGUAAUGGAUCCUGAAAUCCAUCCUUUGUGGAUUUUGUACGGAAUAUUGUUGUUAUGUAUGUGGGCUCACUUAGAUGUAUAUUGCUAGCCUGUCUGGGAAAUGUGAUUGCAGGUCCAGAUUAUGAUGUUGAUAUUAGUGGGAUAAGCAAGAGAUGCAGUUAACACGUAUGUGAUGGACUUGAGUAACUUUUCCAUUUCAGUCCAUUUUUUAAGAUUAUGCUUAGUCUUAUUACAAGGAAAGACCAUAAGAAUCAUGAGUCAUUGGCAAGGUAAUAUCAUUCCCUCUUUACAGGCUUCUUCACCUUUUGGUUUUUUUAAUAUCCAUCAAGAUCUUUUAAUUGGAGGACAAUUACAAGUAUAUAUAUAUGUAUUAAAAGGGGAAAAUAUUAAAACAGGAAAUUUUAGGGAAAAUAUAAUAAUUAUUUCUUCCUUCUUUCCCAUAUAGAACUACACAAAAUAAAACUUUAAUAAUUUUUUCUUAUCUUUUUUAUUAUUAUUUUUUCUUAGAAACAUCCGUGGUCUCACAAGCUUGUAAUCCUAGAUUGUUAGGCUCCUUUAACAGUGCCCCAACAUCGUGGUCCAAUGACAAGCUUCCACGCCUUAAAAUCAGAAAAUGCCAUUAAACUUUAUCAGACAUUACAGUUCAAGACAAAGCUUUCAUUUGCUUAAUGUGAUAAUGAAAUUGUUAAUUUCAUUUCGUGGGCAUCUAAAUUUGGACGAGCAAGACCUCUGAAUUCCCUGUUUUUAUCACCAGCAGAGGAGAUAAAAUCUUAAUGGUGAGAAUCUCCACGUGAAAUUUAUGUGUACUGUCAACAUAUUUUUGUUUAUAUAGUCCAGUAGCUGCAGGAAGUCUAGAUUAUAUAGGUAGCAGUAGCACUAUUUAUAGCACUCGAUAUUCGCUGUAUGAAUACAUUAAACCUUGUUUUCAAUACGCAUCACAAGCAAGUACUAGAUACUACAAGGAGUGACAGUCGCAUCAACAUUUCUUGAUAAUAGCAGUGACUGAUUUAUACACAGAACAGUACUGUACACGUACCAGUCACCAGAGAUAGGAUCUUAUUCCUACAUACGACUCUUAUUGAUCGAAGUCACUCAGUUGGGGUAGCCUGGAGUUGGAGGUUUGUGUGGUGGCUUCUUCUUUGGAGGAGGCUUUAUCUUUGGAGGCAUCAUCUUUGGAGGCAUCUUGUGUGAGUCUUCUUCAGCAUUCUCUACAGGAGGAUGGCCAGGCUUAUGACCCUUAGGUGGUUUGCCAACUGGGAUUGGUGGCUUGUGUCCUGAGAGUGGCUCCUCUUCUUCGGGAGGUUUGCCAACUGACGUUGGUGGCCCGUGUCCUGGGGGUGGCUUGUGUUUUGGGGGUGGUUUCACUCCACCGGGAGGUUUACCAAUUGGUGUUGGUGGUUUGUGCUCAAUCGGUGGCCUCUCAACUGGGGGGCGCUUGGGGUAAUCAGCGAGUGAAGAAGUGGUGAGAACCACCACUCCAAGCAACAACACUAGCAAGUAUGUGGAAGACAUCUUUGAGUUUGGCUCAGAUGGUGUAGAACUAGAAUCCUGGGUGGCCUUUUAUAUUAGUUGGGCCCUAUGCCCGAACGACAAGUGUCAUGGUGACACAUAAAGUGAUGGGGUCGAUUUGGGCCUACCGGAUUUGAAAACUUGGACAAUUCGAGAAGCGUCUCCUGACUCCGGGUUGUAAAGUGAAAGAUUAGGUAUCGACCAUUGAAGUAUGAUCACAACUUUUGGCCUUUGGCUCUCUCUACUGCCGUAUAGCUUUUUUCCUUUGGAUAUUUUUCUUAGCUAGACACAAUUAUUGAGCAGUCUAAUCUCGAAAUGGGAUUAGUAUAGCUUUAAGCAAAUUUAUUAUAGUUAGUGGAGGACUUUUAAGAGUGCAGACGACAUUUAACACAUGCAUGCAGUAGUAUAGGGGACAUAACACUAUUCUUUUUCCAAAGAUUCACAUGAUUUUUAUAUUAUAGUAUUGGCACAUUGUAUGUAGCUGGUUUUGUGGUUAAAAUUCCAUAUGUAGACACUGGCGUUUCUCCAUUUCUCACAAUUGAUGUUUACCUCCACGAUUACUAGAUUAGAUAUACCAAACAAUAACACAUUGUAUAAUCUAUCCGCCCUUCAAAAUCUACUGUAUGAUGAAAUGUUUCAUGUGUGUGUGAAGUGUUAGAAAUGCACUAUAGGCAACAUCAUCUUCUUUUGUCUAGGCUUGGGCCUCAAAUUAUACUCCCAUGCCAUGAUAAAUUUUCAUGUGCAUUCUCUAAAGAAGAGUGUCUUGAAUGUGCCAAAUCAUUUUGAUUGAUUUUAUGAUGUUAAUUGCUCCGCAUAUGGAUGGGUAUGUGCUUUAUUUGCUUAUUCAAUCCACAAUUACCUUGAACUGAAGUCCUAUUGGAGCUCUAUUAUUUUAGCAACGUCCUGUCAAAUAGGCUGCUAACUUGGGGUGGUAUGGACCCAAUGAUCCAUCUUAAUCUUGGGUUGAUUUUGUCUGACUCUAUCUAUCUCAGAGAGAACCAGGAUCACCAGUGCUGGUCUGCUUAAAGAAGACUCAGUACUGGAUUAAUAUUGGUUUGGGUCAAUAGCUUAUAAUGCAUUGAAUGCAGAAUAAACAAGAUCAAUGAAACCCAAAACACACUGCCCACACAACUUCACUCUGGUGUCUGUUAUUCAUCAAUUCUAUUCCCACAUGAACUGGUUCAAGUUUAAGAAAAUGACAACGGAUCCACUGUAUUAACUUGGUUUUGCUUGGUUUUGAGCUAGUUGCCAAACCAGCCAUGAGUUUUACCUCUAAUGUCAAUGAACAAACCCCAAAUGAACAACUGCAACAGCUUAAAGAGAAGGAAUGGAGAUGAAAAUCCCUGUUUCUUCUCAUUCUGGGGACAAAUUAGAACAUAACUACAAAGGUUCUAUUAAUUGACUUACUCUACCAUGAAUUAUGGUUCUUUGGUUUUCCAAAUUUAAAUUGUACAUGAGAUUAUUUUUUUCCUUUAUAUAUAAACAUAUUAAGGUUUUCUUAUUUCGUGGGCAAAUGCGCUAAGGAUGAAAGUCAUUUCAUUUGGCUGCAACAGCAUCUUAUAAUCAACAUGCAUAAGCAGCAGUUUUAAUUGAUCGAUUGAACACCGACUCACAAGAAUAGAUAGAAUGGUACAAGACAGCUCUUAUUAAUUUAUACUCGUUACUCAUUUUAUGUAGCCCCAUUAAGAUGGCUGGCUGGACCACCGAGGUCUGGGGGUGGUGUUGCUUGUGUGAUGCAGCGGGCCGGGCAGACACUUCUCUAGUUGCUUCUAUUUGGAGUUAGAGGAUCAGUCUCUGCCAACCUUGAGGACUCUCUACCUCAGAGGGUCCAGGUGGUGGACUCUGGUGUCGGUAGCUUUGAACUCUCAGUAGACUAGUGUGUCUUAAUCAGUCACUGCCAGAGGCUGGCGUAGGCAGUGACGAUAAGGUGAGACAAAUUACCGAAUAGUCAAUAUCGACUGCACUUGACCAUUAUAGAUUUGUUCUGACAAAAGUGAGAAAAGGGAGAAAAUCGGAUGUUGACCUUUAUAGAAAAAGAUAAGAUUUACUGCAACACAGAGCACUGAUUUGUUACUUGGAAACCAAGUUAUGCUAUUAGCUAGCCUCCAUUAGCAGCAGGGUACCUUGCUGCCUGAUCCUAAUCUGAGUUCCCAAGGUUUCAAUCUUCGUUUGUUAACGCUUCAGGAUUUGGAUAUUUCAGCUUCGUUUCUCCAUUUAGCCAACGCUGCCUGGUUUGGAUUUCAAUCCUCAUCUGGAACAUUCUUUUUUCGGUCUGAUUCAGGAAGUGUUUGGUGAUAGUUGAUUAAAAUUAAACAGUACUAUCAUACAAAUAAAGCUGAUCUAAUUUUGGUGGGCAAUAUACCAACUCAUUUAUUCUUGAAAACACCAUGGGGAAUUGGAGGUCCAUCCGAAGUACUAUUUGAUGGGACUCACAAAAAGAACAGGUGCACAUUUAUGAGAUCCGUGGAAGAGAUAACUAUGACAGCUAUGCAUGUACAACAGAUUUAUGUCGAGUUCACCUCGUAGAUAUUUUGUUUUCAGUGUCGGUGGACCCCAAAAUGGAAAUCGGAAAUUAAGGUUAUAUUUAUUUUUUUAUUUAAUUUUAAAUAGAAUUUUAAUUUUUAAUAAUAUUAAGUAUUAAAUUAUUUUUUUAAGGGUAUUUUAUUUUUAUUAAGUAUUAAAAAGUAAAAAAAAUUAAUAUGUUGCUUUUUUAUUUUAAAAAAAUUAUAUAUUUUAAUUUUUUCUAUUUACUAAAAAGUUUAUAAUAAAUUAUAAAAAAAUAAAAAAAUAAAAAACUUAAAUUCUGAAAAUAAAUUAUUUUUAAUAAAAAAAUCCAAAAAAGCAAACACCACCUAAAUUUGAGAUGACUCAAAAUUUUAUAUUUUUUUUCACCUAAAUUAUAUUCAUAAAUUUAAAAUUAAAAAAUUAGGAAGUUGAAUUUUAUUUUGGAUAAUUGGAAACUACAAGAAAUCAAUAAAAAUAUUUGGAAAAAAAAGAAAAAGAAAAACUAUCUAUAUAUUCACCCCCUUCUAAGAAACAUAACUUUAGUUUUUAACUAUUUUUUAAAAUAAUUUUUGAAAAAUGUUAUAUAAUAUUUUAUAAAACAAAAAAUCUGUUUGACAAUUUGAUAUGUCUUUAACUUAUUUUUAAUAUUUAUAUAUAUAUAUUUUAAAAAUAAUUUUAUAUUUAGAACUUUAUCUUUAAUUAUUAUAUAUAUUUAUAUAAUUAUUUUUUUUAAAACAACUCUUAAAAAAUAAGUGAAAGUAAUUGAAAACAACUCAAAGAUAUUUGAUGAAAACACUCUAAUUUGUAUUUUUGAGAAUAAAAAAAUAAAUAAAUAAAUUUCUAGUUAUCAAAUGUAUUUUUUAAUUCUUUUAUUCUAAAAAAUAGAAAAUCGUUUUUGAAAAUAAUUAUUAAACAACAUUCUUAAAAAUUCACUCGUUACAAUCUAGAUUUAAUGCAAGAAUGAUUGAAGGAGUCCUCCAAUAGAACCCAAAGUUAUAAACAUGAACAAGAAGCCCUAGAAACACCAAAGAUCUCAUAUGGUAUAUAUAUGAGCUUGAUUGAGAACUGUUUUAAAUUCAGUUUUUUUUUUUUUUUUUUUUUUUUGUUUUCAAAGUCAAAACAAGUUUACUUUUAAUUUUUACUUCUUUUUUUUAAUUUUAUAAAUAACAGUUUUUUAAUAAUUUAUUUUGAAAACAUGAUUAUUUUUAAAACUUAUAAUGAAAAUAGGAAUUUUUUUUUUAAUAUCAUGGUUAUUUUCCCUUCUUUUAAGGAGGGCUAUUUUAAAAAUAAAUUUACAAAUAUGAAAAAUGAUUCAAACUAAAGCAGUACAAAUAAAAAACAUUUUUAAGAAAUAUUUAAAAAUAGAGAAAAUUAUUUGAGAACAUUUGAAGUCCUUAAAUAGACUUUUGUUUUAGAAAAGGCAAGAUAAUUAUUUUUGAAAAUUGUUUUCAUAAUGAUAUGCAAAAACCUACGUAAAAACCAUAAUUAUAAUCGGCCACAUAUCAAAUCUACUAAAUAUGAAAAGUAAGUACAUAAUUAUAUUUGACUUAGAUGCAAGGAGGAAAAUGUCGCGAUAUUAUCGCCGAAAUAUCGUGUGUCGAAGGGUAUCGACACGAUUUUUCUUGCAGAAAUAUCGGCCAGUCGAUUUUUCGGGAUAAAUCUCGAGAAAUCGGCAAUUUAUCGCGAUAUAUCGGCGAUUUUUCCUCGAUAUAUCUUCUGGUCAACGCGGGUCAACGGAGUCAACACGCUACAGUGAAAGUCAAAUGUGCUACAAUGUCCCCGCUACAAUCACCUCCCCAAACAAAUUGCCAAAUUGCUUCCGAGGGGAUUUGAACCAGCCUUCUUGCCAUUUGGGCUAACUCGCCCUUAUGAUAUAUAUUGCAUUAAACAUAUAUAUACUUAAAGUCCUUAUAUAAAGAAAAUGUUAAAAAAAUAUUUUAAAGAGCAAAUUAAUUAUAAUUAUUUUAUAAUUAAAAGCAAAAUUUUCUUUUAAUUAAUUACCAAAAAUAUAAAAAUUAUAUAAUUUUCUUCAUAAUGUUUUUAAUAUCAUUAAUAAUUAAUUAAAUAUUAAAAAAUUAUAUAUAUAUAUAUAUAUAUAUAUAUAUAUAUUAUAAUUUAUUUUAUAUUGUUUAAUACAAUUGAAUUAAAUGGAUCAUAUUUUAAUAUUAAUAUAUAUUUUAAAAUUAGACAUAUUGUAAUCAAAUAUCAUAAUAUUAUAUGUAAUUUAAUAAUAAAUGUACACUUAUAAAAUUCAUAUUUUUAUCGAUGCAUACAAUAUUAUUAUCAAAUAUGAUAAAUCAUGUUAUACAUAUAUCAAAAUUUUCAAUAAAAUAACUUUAAAAUGUCUAUUAUACUUCUAAUUAUAUUAUUAUGAGGUUUUCUUUACAUUUUCAUGAGUUUUAAACAAUUUUAAGCACCAAUAUUUUUUUCCAAAAUAUCCACCGAUAUAUCUCCGAUAUAUCCAAUAUAUCUCCGAUAUCUCCGAUAUAUCCGUAAAAUCGAAGUACCGAUAUAUCCGUGAUUACCGAUAUUUUCAUCAUUGCUUAGAUGCAACCUUCUUCCAAAUGACAUACUUUAGUCAAUACUUAUAUUUUUUCGUUUCACUUCUUUGAUACAACACCUCAUGGAUUUAUUGUUUAAUUUAUUUGUAAUUAUAAAACUAUUUUUCAUUUUUAAUAAGACUUGAAUUAAUUUAAUAAAUAUUAUAUAAUUUGAAUUUAUAAUUCUUUUUAUAAAAUCAAAGUAUAUUAAAAAAAAAACAAUUUAUCCGAAGAAAGUUUUUUAUUUUUUAUUUUUUAAAACCGAUUUUAAAAAUAACUAGCUAGACACCCUUAUUUUGAUAAAAUACGAAAUAAAAGUGUAAAAACAACAUGGCCAAAUAGGGGCUUAAAUUUUAUUUUUAAAACAUUUUUUUACACUAAAGUGCAUUUUAAAAACACCAUCAAAACCAACUACAAGUUAUGCUUCUUCCCGUAAUAGAAAUAUUUUAGGCCAAAAUAGAACCUCCCCAAAUAAAGACCCUAUACUAAACUCCUUUUCAUUUUAUUAAUACAAAAGUGGGGAAAAAAGGUCUAUGCUCACCUAAAAAACAUGAAUAUUGUGAAUUCACCAUUUCUAUAAGGAAGUUGAAAACUUCAAAAUUUUAUCAACAAAUUCUCUAAAAUCCUCAAAAUAUAUAGGGCCUGUUUCACAAAGUUUUUUAAAAUUUGUUUUUAUAAAUUGCUUUUAAAAUAUAGAAUAAAUAACAGUUUUUUAGAUUUUUUGAAAAAUAAGAGUGUUUGGUAAGAUGUUUUUUUUUUUUUUUUUUUUUUUAAGAAUUAAAUAAAAAAUAAAAAAAUUGUUUAGAUAAAAGAAUUUGUAUUGUUUUUAAAAACAAUGUCUUACUUUUAUGUUAUAAAAAUUUUAUUAAUUUAAUUUAUAAUAAUAUGAAAUGAAAUUCAAGUUAAGUCUUAUUAAAAAAUACAAAUUAAAUCUAUAAUUAUGCAUGAGUUAAAGAUAAAUAUAUAUUUUUUAAAACUAUAAAAUAAAUUUUCUAUUAUAGUGAAACAAAAAUUACUAUAAAAUAAAAAUAAUUUUAAUAUUCAUUUUUAAUACAAGUCAAAUAAGUACUUUAAUUAAUUUUUUUUAUCAUGAUUUCUUAUGUUUUUUUUUUUUUCUAGAAAUUAUUUUAAGUAAUAUAACUAAUUUUUUUUUUAAUGUUUUAUAAAAAUAAGGAUAUUUGGCAAGUUGUUUUUAUAAAAGGAUUUUAAAAAUAAAUGGAUUUUUUUUUUUUUUAAAAAAAGAACAAAAUGAUUUGUUUGAAUAAAUUGUUUUGAUUUUGUAAAAACAUUUUAAAUUCAAUUUAUAUAAUAUUAAUUAAUUAAAUUAAAUUGAAGUUUUAUUGAAAAUAAAAAUAAUUUUGUAAUUAAAAUUAGAUUAAAAAAUAUAUAGGUUUUAAUAAAUCGUAAAUAGUAAUAUUAUAAUAAAAUUAUAAAUUAUAUUUUUAACAUAAAAUAUACUAUUUAUUACAUAUUAAAAAAAAUAUUUUAUUAUAUUAAUAAUUUUAUGGUAUUAAUGAGUUUAUUAUUUAAGUUUUAAAUUAUUUUUAAAAAUUAAUAAAUUUGUUAACAAAUGCAAUGUACUAAAUGUGGUUUAAUUUGGAGUUAAUUUGUUUAGGGAAAAAAAUAAAAAAUAAAAAUCUUAUGUAAAAGAGAAAUAAUAGAGUGUGUGUGUUUUUUUUUAUUAUUUUUAAAAAUCAGUAAAAAGAACUUUUACUUAUUGCCUAAAAAUUAUUCUCUAUUUUAUUUUAUUUUUUAAAUCUAGAAAUAGAUAACAAUAAUAAAAAAAAUUAAAAAAGAAAAAUGUUUUUUAAAACUCAGACUUAUAAUUGCUUUUGUUUCUCAUUCGCACCCCUGGAUUCCUGGAUUCUAAACACAAAAUUAAGUUGAAUCGUCCAUCUAUCUUGUAAGCCAAGAAUUCACAUAGAAGAAAUAAUCGGAAUUUGAUUUGAUAUCAGAUUUAGAGUGGCUCACUACUCAUGCAUUGUCCCACAAUAGUAAUGCUUUGGGCCGAGAUAAACCCAUUUGUGGGCCCAAAUAAAACCCCUGGUUUGAAAACAUCGAUUUUACAGUGGCCCAAAAGAUUAUCUAUGAGGGGAAGAUAACUUGGAAGUCAAGCAAACACAUUUAUCGCUAACUUUUCUCUAAUUAUAAAAUUAUAACUUGGUCUUCUACACGUCUCACUUAAGAGGCGGAGCCACUUGGCACUACCUUUCCAUAUUGUAAAAGGAGAAGAAGCAGAAGGAGAAGAUUCUUAUGCCAUUCCACACACCAUGGCUAGUACUGCUAUGCUGCUUGGCCCGCCGGCUCUCCGCCAUCCUAAUUCUCCCGCCGGCACUGUCUUUGAAGAUGGGGUCAUUCUAACGGAUUCCCUGAUCGUCCGCACCAGUAAUCUGGAGCUUUCUGAAAAACCGCCACUGGAAUCCCUGGCGUAGUGCUCUGUCAGUGGGGAUAUUGCUAUGGAUUGUUUGGAUUCCCAAGCCCACAAUCUUCAUCUUCCCGGGAAACCGCCGAUGGGCUUAACGGAAAACAAGUCUCCGACCUUUUUGUCUUCCGGGAACCCGUGCUUGGACUUCUUCUUCCAUGUGGUUCCCGAUACGUCGUCUGAUGAUCUGAUCCGACGGUUUGAGUUGGCUUGGGAAUUCAAUCCGCUGACGACGUUAAAACUGAUAUGCAACUUGAGAGAGGUGAGAGGCACCGGAAAAUCUGACAAAGAGGGUUUCUACACGGCGGUUCUCUGGCUCCACGACCACCAUCCCAAAACCCUAGCCUGCAAUGCUAGGGUGUUGGCCAGCUUCGGUUAUUUCAAGGAUUUUCUCGAGAUUCUCUACCGGCUUCUGGAGGGCCCUAAAAUUCGAAGAAUCGAAAAGAAAGACUGGCUGGAUCGAAAAGGAAGGAAGAAAAAUUCCCGGAAAAGGAACUCAAUAUUCAAGCGAGAAAAUAGGCCUGGAGUUGAAUUUCCUGUAGAAGAGAAGGAUGUGGAGUAUAUGGUGGAAGAAUUUGUGGAUAAAGAAAAGGCUAGGGUACUGAGAAAGGAGAGAGAACUUGCUCUUGCCAAAAGAGCCCUGCACAAGUAUUCUACUGAUUCUAAUUAUCAGUUCUUACAUGAUCAGAUUUCAGAUUUAUUUGCUGAACUUCUGAAAUCUGAUAUUCAGUAUUUAAACUCCGGUGAGCUUUACAAGAUUAGUCUCGCAUCCAAAUGGUGUCCCACAAUUGAUUCUUCUUAUGAUAAAUCCACCUUGAUAUGUGAAAAUAUUGCUCGAAAGGUUUAUUCUCGCGAGGAAUAUAUAUCCAGAAUACCAAGGAAUUGAGGAGGCUCACUAUGUUAAUAGAGUCAGGGAUAGGUUGAGAAAACAAGUACUUGUUCCAUUACGUAAGGCCCUGGAGUUGCCAGAGGUUUUCAUGUGUUCGAACCAGUGGGGAUCACUUCCCUACAACCGUGUGGCUUCAGUGGCCAUGAAAUCAUACAAGAGCCUCUUCUCAAAACAUGAUACAGAGCGGUUUGGUGUGUAUCUUGAGAAAGUGCAAACUGGGAAGGCUAAGAUUGCAGCUGGUGCAUUACUUCCCCAUGAGAUUAUAGCUUCAUUGAAUGAGGAGGAUGGCGAGAAAGUUGCAGAGCUUCAGUGGGCGAGAAUGGUGGAAGAUUUAUCAAAGAAUGGGAGGCUCACAAAUUGCAGUGCGGUAUGUGACGUAUCAGGAAGUAUGAGUGGAACUCCAAUGAAGGUGUGUGUGGCUCUGGGGCUGUUAGUUUCAGAGCUCAGUGAAGAUCCAUGGAAAGGUAAUGUAAUUACUUUCAGUGCAAGUCCUGAGCUUCACAAGAUCCAAGGAGACAGCCUUGUAUCCAAGACUGAAUUUGUGAGGAUGAUGGAAUGGGGUGCGAACACUGAUUUUCAGAAAGUUUUUGACAGAAUCUUACAAGUAGCAGUGGAGGGAAAUCUGAGUGAAGAUCAAAUGAUAAAGAGGGUUUUCGUUUUCACUGAUAUGGAGUUUGAUGAAGCUUGUGGGAGGUAUAACUAUUGUGAAUAUGACUAUGAUAUGGAGGAAAUUGAUGAGAGUCAGAAGGCAUCUCAGAAGUGGGAGACAGAUUAUGAAGUGAUACAGCGGAAAUUCCAGGACAAAGGAUAUGGAAAAGUUCCGGAGAUAGUGUUUUGGAACCUUAGAAACUCAUCAGAGACUCCAGUGAUGGCCACAGAGAACGGGGUGGCCUUAGUAAGCGGGUUUUCGAAGAAUCUGUUAGACCUUGUUUUUGGAAGGAGGUGGAAUUCUGACCCCUCAGGAUGUGAUGGAAUUAGCCAUCUCUGGUGAAGAUUACAAGAAACUUGUUCUAUUUGAUUAAGAUAUCAAGAGAUUUAUCAAUAAUAAUAUGUUUUUUUUUUUCUAUGUGAAAUACAUGUAAUAUUAACUAUGGAGUUAUCAAAGUUCUGGAAAUUUAAUUAUUUCUUCUUUUCAAGUUUUGUUUGUCUUUGUUAGGAAUUCCCCUUGGGCGGACCCAGCUGGGGACUUGGAUUGAGGAAGUAAGGAGGCGAAAUUGUGUUCUUCUAUGGACAGAGAAAAAAGAUAAAAAUAAAAAAUAAAAAAGGAGGUUAUUUGCAUUUGGAUGUCAUGUGGUUUCAGGGUACAACUACAAGUUCGAAAUUGUACAUAAUGUGAAAAUUCCUGUGUGGAGAACAGCAUAAAUAUGUAUCUCAGUGUGUUUUGUUUGAGCUAAUUGGCAAAUUCGCUUUAAACAUGGUCACAUGGAUGCAUAUUUAUUUGUGAAAUGAUAGUAGUCGAUUACUUGGUCAGUAAGGUUUGUAUCUCUAACUCCAACAUCUUAUUGUAGUCUUUUAAAAUGUCAAAAGUUUAAUGCUAGCUUGAGAAAUUUUGGAAUGGAGACAUUCUAAACAAAGUUAAUAAUCCAUGAGACUUGGUAAAACCGAUCAGAUGAUGCUUACGUACAUGAAUGCCUUCUUUAAGCCGUAUCCUAUUUUCAUUGAAUGAGACGUGCCAUCUAGUUUUGUUCUUGUCUUGAUUGGAUCAUGAUCCCGGGAAUUGAUUACUGUUCUGAAUUUGCGAAUGUUCAAGGUAUUAGAGAAAGUUAAUAUUAUCGUUAAUUUACAUAUUAGUAUUUAUCUAGUUAUUAUAUAUUAGUUUGAAUUAUAAUAUAAUAUAGAAUUUGAAUCAAGUUUACUAUUAGUUUGAAUUACAAUAGGAAAUAAAGUUUGAAUUAUAGUAUAACUCAAAUAUAUUUGUAUAUAAAUAUCCAUCUUUAUCAAUGAGAAUAGUAAACCAUAUUUUUCUCUAUCUUCUUCUUUCUCUAUAUAUAUGGUAUCAAAGCCUCCAAAUCCUAAACCUAGUCUCAACUUAGAGCAAAUUUAGGGUGCAGGGUUUAGGCCCCGCCUCCCCCAACCCUUACCACAAAUGGUAGUGACCUUGUUAUGCCUAUGUAUUGUCAAUGCCUCAUUUUCUAUGGUCUUCAAUACAAUAUCUAGUUUCAAUGUCUCUUUCCUUACUAUCUCCAAUGCAAUAUAUUGAUUUCAAUAUCUCUUUACAACCAAGAGCUCCAAAUUUUCCUGGUUCAAAUCUACCAUAAUUUUUAUUCUCCUUUGCUUUUUACCAAUAUUAGUUCCCCUAAUUUAAUAUAUAUCUCUUUAUUACCUUCAACUCUACCUCUCUCUUUCUUUAAAAGCUUCCUCAAAGAUUUGAUUGCUUUCUUGCAUGUUUUGGGAAAACAAACAUGCUCAUAUUCUAUUACCUCUACUUGAGAUCUGCCUUAUACUCUACCUUCUUCUUUACCUCCUAUAUCAUCUACUACAUUAGCUUCAAAAACAUUAUUUAGUUUGAUGCUAAAUAAGGCUCCUAAUCCUACCCUUCCUUCAACUAACUUUCUUUUACAAGUCCCUCAAAGUUUUUUUUUUUUUUUUUUUGGAAAUUUGGCUUAGAAAGAUUUCAUUACUCUUACCUAAUCUUUCAACCAUCAAGUCGAAUCCACUUAUCUCUUGAAUCCAAGGAGACUACCCUCCACAAAAACAAGGAGAUUGACCCCCACAAUAACAAAGAGAUUGUCCUCCAUAGAAACAAAGAGAGCUUCCUUCAUGGAAGCCGAAUACAUCGCAAUCUAUUUUCUUUCUCUCAAGAUCAAAUCUCCAAUCGGAGCUCCAUCUUGUGGGGAUAUAUUAGAAAAAGUUAAUAUUAUCCUUAAUUUACAUAUUAGUAUUUAUCUAUAUUAUAUAUUGAAUUAGAAUAGAAUAUAGAAUUUGAAUUAAGUUUACUAUUAGUUUAAAUUACAAUAGGAAAUAGAGUUUGAAUUAUAGUAGAACUCAAAUAUAUUUAUAUAUAAAUAUCCAUCAUUAUCAAUGAGAAUAGUAUUCCAUAUUUUUCUCUUUCCCUGAGGCUUCAGAAUGUGAUCUUGAACAUUUGAUCUUUUGGAUUCUUCUUGUUUCGGUGGUUUAAUAUAAUGGAAUGUUUAAUUAUAGCCUACUUUAUCACCAUGGAUGUGCUCCUGCAGAUUUCUUGAGGGUGAUGGUUAUUUUGUCAUGUUUCUUGAAUGGUUUGCAUCAGCUGCCUGAGCUGUUGUUGCUGGUCACUUUUGCAACCAGGGAAAGAAUCAUGGCUUUGGAGAAGCCAGCUUCUGUUUUUGUUGCCCAGCUGUUAGUUCACUAAGAUUGGGGGUCCUAACAUGUAUGUAUAAUCAUAAGCAAGGAAAUUUUAUGUCUUACGCUAGAUAGGUACCAUGAUAUGAUGUUUGAUUGAUUUAUUAACUCUACCUGUUUCAAAAGGCAUCAACAUUAAUUUUACCCUUUUAACACAUUGGAUUGUUUGACCUUACGAGAUUUUCUAUUUCUGUACUAUUUGAACUGCAAUCGUUAUGGUCCUUAGGUCUCUAAACCUUCGUUUAAAAUAAAAGUAAGGAGCACACAUAGUAAAAGUUAAUUUUGGGUAACUUUUAAAACAAAGAGAAAAGUAAAAGUUGUUUUUGAGAAAAACAUAUAGAAAUUGAAAGAUUUUUUAUUUUGAGAAAAAAAAGUCAUAGAAAAGAAAUAAUAUCCCCAUAUAAGUAGAUAUGAUCUAUCCGAAGUGUAGCUACUCUCCUGGAUUUAUUCUAACAUUUUAAAAUUUUUCUCAAUGGGCAAAGGAAUAUCAAAUCAAGCUUGAGUAGGAUUAAUUUCUUAAUUUUUAAAAUAACUUAUAAUUAAAAUUUUUUGGUGUUUUCUUUUUUGGACAAUUUUUUAUGAAGACUCUGAAUCAUGCAAGAGAUAUGGUUAUUUUAAAAAAAAAAAUAAUUUAAAACUCAAAUACAUAAUCAAUGUCACAAAUUUAUAAACAAAAGGUUUUUAAAAAAUACUAUUAUUUCCCCUCUACACAUAAUUUUACUUUUCCGAUUUAUUUAUUUUUGUUGGAAAACAGUCUUCAAAUCAAGUAAAAUUAAUAUGUUAAAUUUGUUAAACAAAUAAAUUUUAAAAUACAAUUUGGAACUCAAAAAUCAAUUCAAGUAAUGCUAAAAUUCAAAAAAUCAAAUUUGGAAUAAAAUGACUUUGUAAAUUUUUUUACUAAACAAAUGAAUUUUAAAUCAAGUGAGAUUUAAUACAUUGGAUUUUUAUGAGAAUAGUAAUUUUAAAAAUUAAUUUGGAACUCAAAAAUAGACACAAUAAAUACCAAAAAUCAAUGAACCAAAAUUGGUUUGGAAUAACUCCAUAAUUUUUUAUUUAUUUAUAUAUUUAUUUUUUUGUGCACACGAAUUUCUUACUAAGCAUAUUGCUUCCAAAUUGAGAAAAAUUUACUAUUUAGAUUUUUUUAAUGAGUUUAAUGGUAUUUAAAAAUAAUUCAAAAAUUCGAAAAUUGACUAAUUUAAUAUUAUAAAUUCAUAAACCAAGACUAAUUCAAAAUGCAUUGGGGGCUAAGGGGGUUGAAAUUAAUGCUCCAUUUGGUUGUGGCCACCAAUUGGCAAUGGCCACCAAUCAACCAAUCAAGGUGGCUAAGGGGGUUGAAAAUAGGGACAAUGGGGUGGGUUUGGGACAGGACACUCAUAUCCCAUUCCCAUCCCAAUUACACAGUUAUUUCCCAUCCUUAUUCCAAACUUGUGUUGGGGCAAGUUGAUUUGUUCCCAUCUUUGUUAACGAAAUGACUAAUAACCUCAUCCUCUCCUUGUCUUAGAUGUACAUUUUCUCAAAUUUGGUCAGGUAUGAUUGAUUCAAGCCCUAACCUUAAUUGGUAAUGAGUGGAUACCACACCUAAUUGCAUUCUUCUUUCGUUGCAAAAUAAUGAGAUUAUAAUAAUCUAGCAAAUAAGAAAAAAUAGUAUGGAAGUUCAAAUUAACACCAUAACUAUCAAUAAUUUUAAGCUUAUAGAUGACUUAAAUGAUUGAAAACUAAUGCAAAAUACUAAAAAAAAAAAAAAUCAUCUAAAGAAUUCACAAGAGAAUAGAACGAACAAAACCAAAUAGGAACAUGGGUCAACAUUAGUUACAGAUUUUGAUCCCUUUCAAGGCCAAUCUUUGAACCAAGACUUCAUCAAAUCUACUACUUCAAAGGCUUUUGUGUUCUUCUUGAGUUGUACUCUGGAACAAAGACUUCGAGGUGAUGCUUUAGAUGAUUGCAUUACACAUAUUUAGGGUAGGGAGAUUGGAGAAGCUUGAAGAUGCCAACGAUGGGUACAAUUGAGUGGUCAAUAAGAACAAUGUGGCCUAUGACUAGUUUGAUGUCAUGGUAUAGGAGUUUUGGGCAUUGAGGUGAAAGCAAGAGCAACAUGGAAUUGAUUUCAAAGUCUUUCAAUUAGUGUAAAGGAGGAAGAAGAAGUGGUAUUGAUCCUAGAAAUAGUGUUUUAGGUGUUGCAUUAGAGGAAAAGAAAAAGAAAAAGAAGGAACCAUUGGAAUUAGUACGAGUGUGAAGAGAGAAGUGUAUACAUAAGGGGAAGUAAAAGCAAAGUUCUAAAAAUUUAUUUUUUUAUUGGUGGUGUAUGGUUGCAUGAUUAUCCCUAUAAAUAAUAGGAGUUUUUUGGUGUUCUACUAGUAGUUGAAGGAUAAUUUCAUAAGAUAAUAUUUAGAGCGGGGUGGGGUGAGUUGUGACAAAAUCCAUACCCGUCCCAAACAUUGGUUCAGGUUUUUAAAAUAUUUUCAAACUUAUCAUAUACCCAAUUUUAUAUUUCAUACUUGUCCUAAUAGAGACAGGUUAGUCAGGGUUACUUGAGUAGCCUACAAAACUAUCAUCCCUAGUUGAAAUGCUCUUUUUGGCAGUGGCAGCUAGAAGCUCGAUCGAUUGACCUACAAGACUAGUUGUCAUCAUUUUAAAAAGAGUUUUGGCUUUGGUUGUGAGUGCAAUUGAAUCUAAACUAACAUUUCCUUAAUGCAUCUACUUCAAUCCUAAACUUCUUACUUAAGCCUCAAUUGUUGUUAAGAUUUUGGAAAACCCAUUUCCUUAAAUUGUAAAUUUAAGAAAAAAAAAAUUAAAAGUGAGACAUUUCUUGAUUGAAUGUUGUUAAAGGUCCCUUGGAAUUAAGACUUGGUUGAAGCCUUGGAAGAUUAGCAGAACUCUCAACUUAUGUUUGAACCUUGAGGAGAGUGGACGUAGGCCAAAAUUUUGUCAAACCAUUAUACAAAUUGAGUUUGAAUUCUCAUUUCUUGAUUUCUUAUUUAUUUGCUUUUUCUUAUUAUUACUUGAAUUGUCAUUUGCAUUCAUUAAUGUUAAAAUUGGUUAUAAUUAGCCAACACUAAUUCUCUUUCCCCUUCCCUUAAUUUCUUGGGUGUAAACCUAGGUUGGAUUAACUAGAUUUUAUCAAAUCUAUUAAGAUGGUAAAAGAAUAAUUAUUCUUAACAUACAUAAGAUCAUCUUCAAUCAAAUGACUCAUUGGCUGAUAUGUUGAAUUUGCUUAUUACUUGCAACUCAAAAUUGUGUUCUAGUUGAUAUGUCAAGUCCUGAGUGUAUGGACAUUAAAUUUGUAGUACGUGAUGAGUAUUUAGAUGGUCCAAUUCCAAGAAAGUGAUUGAAAACUAGUUCAAGAAAGGUGCAAAAGGGAAUUGUUUUGGUAUUUUCGUUUUUAUUCUUGAAGGUGGCAGAGCUAAAAUUUGAGAAAUCAAGCAAAACAUACUGAAAUUACAUUGAAAGAAAGAAAAUGGGAGUUAAUGUCUUGCAGUACAUGAUAAGGACUUCAUGCAUGUAGUGUGACCCAUGUCUUGGACUGAUGCCACACUCACGGUUACACUUAUACCCUUAGUUCUCUCUUUACUACCUUAGCUAACCUAGAUCAGGUUAUGAGAUAGGCACCUCACCACACCAUUACUUGCCCAUUAAUUAGUGACAUUUUCAAGCAAUGAGGUAACAUGGUGACACCAAGAGGGUAUAUUCCUCACCCCCAACAAGCCUAGACCUGGUCUAAAAAAAAUGGAGAAAAAUGACGUGUUGUUAUGCAGAAAUAUAGCAACCAUGCCUUCCUCAUUACUUAGAUUCAGAAUGUGAAGGUGAAAUUGAGAAACAGAAACUCUUGAAACCAAAAUGAAAAUUGAUACUUUUACGAAGAAUUACAACAACAUUAGAGGAAGACUACAUUCUUCCUCUUUAUUCCUACAUUUCUACACUACUUCUACUCCACUCCAUAUUUCUACAUACAUCUUUAAUCAGUCUUCCCUCCUUUAUAUAGAGCCAUCUUCACACAAAUUCCGCAAGGUAGAAAAGAGGAAUGAAACUUGGAGCAAGGUUCGACUACUGGCUGUAGCUUGUCAAGGCUGAAAGUGAACUUUUUUUCUUGGCUUUUCUGGGCAUAGGUAGUAACUUGUAGGUUCCUUUUUGGAAUGAAAAUGGUACGGCUAGAACAUGUGGCACUCUCUUGUUGGAUGAUGUGUCAAGCAUGUGGCAGCCAUCUAGUGGAGAUUAUGUCAAUUUUGGGAUGGAGAGUUGGCAUCCAAUUGCAAAGAAAUAUGACAUCUACCAACAUGCAAUGUCAACCUAUGUAGAUCAUAUGAAGAUAGAGAGGAAAAAUAUAGAAAUGGAUAUAUAACUAGAACUAGCUUUUUAUUAAAUGAGACGGAGAGCCAACAAUGAAGGAAAAUCAAAAUUUUUGGCUCAUAUCAAAGAAUUCACAUUGUGUUACCCUAGGUUUUCUUAAAACUUACUUUUAUGAUAAUAAAAAAUCAUUAUUGUUUAAUCCUUUGUUUUAAACGCAUGUUUAGCAGGUUGUAAAAUGUAAAUAUCUUUCGAAAUUCAAAUAUGAAGAUAUGACAUCAUUUCAAGCAAUAUAGUCUCUAGGAAUUAAUGUAAAGCUAAAUUAAGGUGCAAUUAAGUUAGUUCAAUGCAUUAUUUUAAGAAACUUGACCUAUCAAAACCUUGUCUUACUUCAAAGCCUCUUUUUCUUUUCUUCCAACUAACAUUUUAAUAAGUGAUCGCAAAAGUACAAAAUUAGAUGAAAUCCAUUUCAAUGGUUAAAAUGAUCAAAUUCAAACUUUUUCUAAGUAUCUUUUAAAAGCAUCAAUAUUGAAAGACAAUUUUAUAUUUAGUCAAAGCUUGGACAGAGCCAAAAAGCACACAAAAAUUUAUAUUUUCUAGCUCUCUACCUUGGAUGGUCUCUUGAUCCUACUUGGAGAUGUGCAUAAAUAAAAGGAUUUGAAAAUGACAAUUGACUAAGUAUGUAGUCAAUCAAUUACUCAUUGAUUGACUAGUUGAUCAAUUAACUUUGCAACAUCAUAUGCAAUCCUAAUAGCUAGUCAUCUAAUCAACUAGGUAGUAAAUCAAUAGGCCAAAAAUAUGUUUAUAAUGACUAUUUUGUACAAAAACCACUUAUAUAGUUAAAUAUAAUGCAUUUCAUUUAUAAAUCUUCUAAUUCUUGAAUAACAAUCCUAUCAUCCUUUGAAAGUUUUUAUUACACCUUUUCUACAUUUGUUCUAAAACUUAUACAUCACCCUUAAUUGUACCAUGAGAACCUAGCAUUUUUUUUUUUUUUUUUGUAUUUCAUCAAAGUUAGCUCUUGUACUCAUUGUUGUAUUAUUUUUAUUGUAACUUAGAGAGCGAGUGUUUUCAAGUGAGUGAAAUUGACUUGUAAAUAUUGUAAAGAUUCAUUGAUAUGUAUCUCAAACUAGGUGUACAAGUUGAAACAUUUGCUAGUAGAUUUUCUCAAGAUUUAGAAUGAGCUUAAGGCUAUCGAAUUAGGUGGGGUUGCGCCAAACCAUAUCACAUCGUUGUUUGCACCUUUUUUUUCACUCUCUUUUACUUAGUUGCUCUAUAUAUAUUGUCUAGCAAUAUCCUAAAGGCUUGAUGGGCUAGGGAGCAUCCCUCUGAAUGAAAAAUUUUCAUUCAAUUCUUAGUUGUAUUACGCAUAUAUAAAAUGCCUCAUUGUUUUAAUGGUAUUCAGUCGUGGCACCACAGAUAUGGACAUCUAAAUUUUAAAAGUUUGAAACUUUUAGCUAAAGAAAAUAUGGUGCUUUGCCUUUUUGGAAAGCAUGUUGAUGAAAUCCAUGAGAAUUGUAUACUUGGAGAGCAACAUCGAGAUAACUUUUUUUUUUUCUUUUUUUAUAAUGCAUUGUUUGUCCAAAUUCCGUACAAAUUAGGCCACCACAUGUUCAUAAUUCUCCCUUCUUGAAUUUGAAAACUCGGACAAUUUGACAAUGCGACACCUAAGUCCGGUUUUUAAAUGCUAAAGUGAAAGGGCAGGUAUGGACCAUUGAAAUGUGAUAACAACUUUUGGCCUUUUCCUUUUCUCUGUAGCCAUGUUGUCUCUUUUUAAUUUCUUUUGCAUGAUUUUCUUACCUAAACAGAAUCAUAGACUUGUUUAAUCUCUAAGUGGGAUUUCAUCCACCUUAAGCUACUGUAUUAUAUCUCGGUGGAGGACAACCGACAUAGAGCACAUGCAAGUGGGUAUAUGGGACAUGAAAUAUCUUCUUAUAAAGCUUGUUUUGCAGUUAAAUUAAUUGGAUAAGUAGACACUGGCGUUUCUAAAUUUCCCACCUAAGAUAAUGACCUUAUCCUUGACUGCUAGAUACACAAACAAUUAUACCUUCAAAAUCUACUGUGAAGUGCUUCAUGUAUGUGUGAAGUAUUAGAAAUUUCUUUCUUGGCAACUUGUUUUUUUCUUUGCGGUCUACUGAUAGGUUUGACUAAAAUUAUAUUCCCUGUCCUGCUAAUUAAUUUUCACGUGCAUGCUCAAAAGAAGAGUAUGACCUUAGUGCACCAAAAUCACUUUCAAUAAUUUGUGAUAAGUUUUUUUGCAUGACAUUAACCUUAUUCAUUUAGAUAAUGUUUAGUUCUCAUAAAUAUUAAGAAAAUGAAAAUAAAUAUUAAGAAAAAUAUUCUUAUAUUUGAUUGUAUUAUGAAAAAUAUCAUAAAAAAUCAAAUAUAAUUAAAAUUAAUUAAUAAUUUAUAUAUUUUAAAAUUAUUUAAUUUUUAUAUUAAAGAUAUAAUAUAAAUGAAAUGAGUUUUAAGUAUUAUAUAAAAAUGAUUUAUUUAUUUAUUUAUAUAUAUAUAUAUAUAUAUAUUUAGUUUUUCUCUUUAUUUUAUUUUCCUUAUGUUUUCCUCACAUUUUCCGGAAUCAAAGAUAGGGAAAUCCACAAUUACCUUCAACUGAGUAGAUUCUAUUGUUUUAGCAAUGUUAGGCUGCUAACUUGUGGUGGUACGAACCAAAUGAUCCAUGUUAAUCUUGGCUUGAUUUAAUUUGGCUCUAUCUCAGAGAACUCAAGGAUCACGUCAACUCUGGUUUCUACUAUUCAGGUCCAUUCCCAGAUGAACUGGUUCAAAUUUGAGAAAAUGGUAACAGACCUUUAGUGAUAUUGGUUUGGAGCCAGUUGCCAAACCUGCCCUGAGCUUUACCACUAAUGUCAAGGGACAAAGCCAUUUGAACAAAAACAAUAGCUUCAAGAGACUGAAUCGUGGAUGAAAUCUGAUCCACAUUUCUUCUCAUUUUGGGAAAAAAUGAGGACUUAACCACAAAGAUUCUACUGCCUCAUAGUGCUUUUCCUGAUCUAAGGUUGGCUCGUUUCCCAAAUUGUGAGGUGCACGUGCCACUCUCACGCUCAGGAGUGUAUCCACGUGGUGGACAUAAGAUGGUGGCUUAAUAUCUGGUGUCGGUGGCUUUACUUUACUAGGAGAGUAGUGUGUCUUCAUCUCAUUCACUGCCAGAGGGUGGCGUAAGCAGUGACGCUAAGGUGGGGCACAGUCAAUAUCAUUUGCAUUUGACCAUUAUAAUUUUCUCCCGGCUUUAAAGUAACCUUAUCGUGAUAAUGGAUUACUAGCACUAGUUCAGAUGACAGUCAUGUUAAAUUCGGACCAUGUUUGUGUCACAUUAUCAGCAACCAUGUGCUUGUGGUUCAUGCUAUCUGCAACUAAACUUGAUAUAUAACCAGGUGAACUUCAAUCUAAAUUCUGGAAGUACUCAUGUGAUAGAUGGUGCCUGUCUGCAGUGAGUGUAUCUAUAAGAGGGAAGGCUUGGCAAAUGUUCAGUUUUCUGGGAAUUCAACAGGGAUCUAAAAUAGAUUGUUUUCUUUGCUGAUUUCAAUGGUUGAAAUUUGAGAAGAUUGUGUCCACAUAACACAACUAUUACUGGUCCUUCUGUUGCAAUUUAUCCUCUAAGGCUCUAACAUGUCUUCCAAUUCCCACUUCCCACUUCCCUGUUACUCCAGGAAAGCUGUUUCUGUCAUUGUGAAGAAGAAAAGAGACUGUACAUAUCGAUGCUUUUAAGUGGACUGGAGAAUUCAUAUCAGGUGGUCUGCAGCCAUACAUGCCACUUUGUGAAGGUUGGAACAGUCAAUCACUAGGCUAUAUUAGUGGGGCCCAGCCACUUCAAUCAAGGACAAGUCUUCAUACUUAAAGUCAAAUUCUGCCUUUAGUCUCAUUAUAAAUUGCUGUUUAAAUAUCAAGCAAACAUUUGUUUAAUGCGAUUAAGACAGCACUAACUCAAUACUUGUUCUAUUUUUGGAUGCAAAUGCUUGAUAGUUUCAUCAUUGGAGGGGAUAAAGGUGCAUUCAUGAUUAUGAAUACUUGUAGUUAUAUUUUCAUUCUCUUUUUUCUCAAUGGGACUUGUUGGCACAAUUUUGCUGUUCAGAAACCUACCUCUCCAUGGAAAAUCAGUUGUGAUUGAUAUUACUGGAUAUAUUCAAGAAAGCUAAAUGUAGAUAGCACAAAAUAUUAUCGACAUAAAUAGCAUUAACAGCGUACGUAUGUCUCAAUGCUCAUCAGCUAUAAGCAAGGGGCAAACACUUACUAUGAGCAACUUACGUCAAAAUUCCGGAAUAGGACAUAGAAGUGACAGGUCAGUAAAUAUAGAACACUGCAUAUGAGUCACAAGAAAGGAAAUUACGGGUACAUAGCAGCUCUUAUUUUACAUCCUACUCAUACUGAUCAAAGUCACUCAGUUGGGAUGGGUGGGAGUGGGAGGUUUGUGGGGUGGCUUGUGCGGAGGAGUUGGCAGCUUCUUUCCAGGACCUGGUUGCUUCUCUGCUGGAGUUGAAGGAGGCUUAAUCUUCCGAGGUGGCUUGUAUGAGUCUUCAGCAUUCUCAGCAGGAGGGUGACCAGGGUUGUGACCACAAUGUGGUGGCUUCUCUCCCUUAGGUGGUUUGCCAACUGGGGUUGGUGGCUUGUGUUCCGGAAGUGGCUUCUCUUUGUGUUCAGGAGGUGGCUUCUCCACUGGAGGCUUGUGUUCAGGAGGUGGCUUCUCCACCGGAGGCUUGUGUUCAGGAGGUGGCUUCUCCACCGGAGGCUUGUGUUCAGGAGGUGGCUUCUCCACCGGAGGCUUAUGCUCUGGUGGUGGCUUCUCCACCGGAGGCUUAUGCUCUGGUGGUGGCUUCUCCACCGGAGGCUUAUGCAAUGGUGGUGGCUUCUCCACCGGAGGCUUGUGUUCAGGAGGUGGCUUCUCUACCGGAGGCUUAUGCUCUGGUGGUGGCUUCUCCACCGGAGGCUUAUGCUCUGGUGGUGGCUUCUCCACCGGAGGCUUGUGUUCAGGAGGUGGCUUCUCCACCGGAGGCUUGUGUUCAGGAGGUGGCUUCUCCACCGGAGGCUUGUGCUCUGGUGGUGGCUUCUCCACCGGAGGCUUAUGCUCUGGUGGUGGCUUCUCCACCGGAGGCUUGUGUUCAGGAGGUGGCUUCUCCACCGGAGGCUUAUGCUCUGGUGGUGGCUUCUCCACCGGAGGCUUGUGUUCAGGAGGUGGCUUCUCCACCGGAGGCUUAUGCUCUGGUGGUGGCUUCUCCACAGGAGGCUUGUGUUCAGGAGGUGGCUUCUCCACCGGAGGCUUAUGCUCUGGUGGUGGCUUCUCGAAUGGGGGAUGCGUAGGGUAAUCAGCUAGUGAGGGGGCGGUGAGAACCACCAGGCCAAGCAACACUACUAGCAAGUAUGUAGGAGACAUCUUUGGGUUUGGGCUCAGAUGGUGCAAAACUAGGAGAAUUGGCUAGCCUUUUAUAGCGGAUCGUACCCAAUAAUGAAAUGACACGUGUCAUUAUGACCCAUGUGUCAUGUGGUCGAUUUGGGUCCUACAGUGUUGAAAACUUCGACAUCCACUUUUUUGGCCUUUUGCUUUCUCUACAGUCGCCUUGCUUUUUCCCUCUUUUCUUUUGUUUUCCUCCUGCCCCAUUCUAUCAACUAAUCACAAUUAUGUAGUUGUUUAAUUCUUAAAUGAGAUAUUAUCCGUCAAUCAUAUUAUCUUUUAUCAAGAGAGAACGGAGUGAAAAGUGGCAAUCCAAAGAAAGAAGAUCCAUAAUGCAGCUGUAAUUUUAUCGUUUACUUUUAUCUCUAGGACCACUGCAUUUUUGUUGAGAGGUGCAAUAAUACACGUCUUUAUCUGCCAUUCAAUGUUUACAGUAAAGAGAGGGCACAAAACUCUUCACUGCUCUGCAUGUGCCCCAAAAAUGCAAUUGGACAAAUUAUGAUUUGCAUGCUAAAAAGAGGCAAAUGAGGUUAAUUAGCACCAAAAUUAUUUUGUUUUCUGGACACCCCGGGGCCCUUUGGUUGGUUUGGGGGUCAGAAAAUGAACAUCAUAGGGGGUUUUUCCCUAAUGUGCAUUUGCAUUUGUAUCUGAUGGCUUUAACUCGCCUUGUUACUACAAAGAAAUUGUCACAGAUAGGAACUUAUUCCAGGCUGAGUAUCUCCGCAUGGACCCUAUAAAAGAAGACAAGUCAUAAUGAACAUCUAACCUUUGUUCAAUUUGAUUCAAUGCCCCUAUUGUGUCCAUCUCACAAAUCUGAAUUAUUAUAUCCAUUGAAUACAUAAAUUAAUGAAGAAAAUAUGAAACCCAAGAUACAUCUCUGCACAACCUCAACCCUGGUUGCUAUGUUUCACUUCUAUUCACAUGAGGAUAUUGAUUACGGAAUAAGGAAACCUAGCAAGGGUUUACUCGGCUCUGGUUUGAUGCUAAUUGCCAAACUUGCAACAAGCCCUGAGUUUGACACCUAAUCGAUGGGCGAAUUAAAAGUCUCCUCCAAACAUAUAUUCCACAGCUUGAAGCUCACAGAAGAUGCUAUACAGGCAGGGAAAAACCUUCAGAGUUAGCUACCAAAGAUAAUUAUCAAGGAGAUAUCACCAAGAGAAUUCCAUGGAGUCUGAAUCAAAGACAAAUUGCUCGCUCGUGGGGGUUCUUACUUAAUUUCUUUUGGGUAUAACUCACUGAGGGCACUGGCUUUGUUAUUUGCAUUUCGCAUUUAGAGUUCUGUUCUGGAAGGUUUGUUCUGGAAACAUAUAAAAGGAGCAUCAUUUUGUUCUAGGGUAACCCAUAGUUGUGAGUGGGUCCAUUUGCAUGCUACUUAGUUGAAAAGUUGGACAAUUUGCUCCGACGCCUACCUCCUGGAUUCCAUGCUCGGAUAAAGCAAGAAUAAUAAAAUAUUUAUAAUUUACAAAUGGGGGAAAGAAAAAAAUGUCAACAACAAACUAGGAAAAAAGAGUAGUAAAAUUUAUGCCACAUGCUAUUGAUAGAAGGGGCAUGUAUUAGAUCCAUCACCAUUUGGUAAGAUUUUAGUAUUAUAUUUUUCAAGGUUCAUUAUUUGAGGGUGUGUUCUUCAUCUCUGUUGCAUUGCUUCUUACUAGGCCCACUGAGGUGGGUUCUUCACCUUUUGUAUAUUCUCUGCACUAGAUCAAUGAGAAAGGGGGAAUUUUGGUGAAUUUGCAGCCGUUGGAUGAUUGAUUCUAGGCUCAGUCCACCAAUGAUGCUCUCUUCACUCUUUCUCAUCUAGUGUCAUUCACAACUAUGUUUUGAUUCAUAUUUGUACUAUCAAAGAUAUCUCAUUAUUCUAGCUCAUUAGGUAGAGUUCCUAAUCUUCCUCCUUUUUGGUCUAUGGACAGUAUUGGCUUCAUAUUAAGAUCAUGUUUCAAUAAUUGCACAUUAAUGAAUGGAUCAUGACCCACAUAAACAGAGUCAGGGUUGAGUCAGUGAACCCUAAAAUUUCACAAUUCUAAAUUUGGGUUCUUUAACAAUGCAGGGUCAAGGACGCGUGGUGAUGAAGGAAAGCUGGUAAGCUCAGUGUUACUUCAAUUCCUGCCAUGUAGGAUGGUGAGGAGAUAUUCACUAUGCAAUUAAUAAUAGACAAUAUUCACUAUGCAAUAAUAAAGCAUAAAUUAAGUUGAAUGAAAAGCAUUUUCUUUGCAAGGAGUUGAUUUUGGUUUCAUAGUUUGUUCAACUGCUAUUUUGGAUAGGAAAGUGUGAGGAGAAGAAAAUAAAAAAUAAAAAUAAAACAAAAAAUAAAAAAUAGAUUUUAUAAAUUCAUUUAAUUUAUUUUUUUUUUAUAAAAAUUAACUAAUUUAAAAUAUAUGUAAAUUUCUAAUUAAUUUAAUUACAUUUUUUUUUUCAGUUUUUCAUAAUAAACCAAAUAUUAGAAAAUUAUUUUUAUUAAGACACCCAAGAUGAGGUAAUAUGCAAUGAAAACAUGAAUUAUAUUAAAAUUCAAAACAAAUUAAGAGAAAUCGGAAAAUAUACAUAGAUAUCUAAACAAAGAAAUUUAAAGAGAAGGAACCACAAACUUUAUUUACAUAAUUUGAAAAUAAAAAACAUAAAACAUACUUAUAGUAAGGAGAAAUUGAAUAUCUUACAAUGGAAGAAGGGAGAAAAGCUUUGAAGAAAGCUUUUGCUUGGAAGCUUACAUGGUGAGAGGUAGAGAAAGGAGAGAGAGAGAAGAAAAUGAAAAAUGAGAAGUGGAGAAAAUUGGAAGUUUUGUGUGCUUACAACUGAGGAUAGAGCCUCCUUAAAUAGCAAAAAAUGGAAUAUUAAAUAGUACCAAUCAGGAGACAAAAUAUUGUUUGCUUUUGAAACCCGUGCAUGAAUAGUAAUCCCGUGAGUGAAUAGUGAAUAAUAAAAGUGAAUAGUAAAAGUCACUUUCUACUAUAGCACUUUAGACUUUUUCAUCGAGAAUCUUACUUUCGGCUGAGUGAUGAUAGCUGAUAGGUUGCUUUGGAUUGUGGAGUCAUAUGUUUGAUGUUUUCGGUGCUGAAACCGCUUAGUUGGAGAAUAAUCUCGUCAGUAGAGCAUCAUGAGAAGCUUGAAUGGAGAGAGCUUAAUGAUGCCAUAUGAUUGGAAGGAAUCCUAUUUUAAUUUCCUUAUUGGAGGGAGAAUACCCUCACAAUCAUCUUCAUUAUCUUGAAGGUAGUUUGAUAUAGAGUCAUCUGACUCAGCAUAAGAGUCCUCUUGGGAGAAGCUUGAACUGCUUUUGUCAAGGAUUUUCUGAAAUUCUUGAGGGGUUUUUGCUAUUGCUAACAUGGUUUGGAGUUGCUGUUUCUUAAGAAGAAACUGUGCAAUAUCAUAAGAUGAUGAAGCUUGUGUAGGAUGCUUUAGGAAAUAUUGCUUUAUUGCUUGUAGUGAGGUAUCAUUUUUCAAGGCAUCCCACCACUUAGACUUGAAAGUCCUUCCAAGGGUUGGAAAGGCUGCUGAUUCAUCUGCUAUAAUGAUAUAAUCCCACUGGACUAUCCAGGCAAGGCCAAAUUCACUAAAAAAGAAUAAUAAUUGGGGAAAACUGAAAGUUCUCUAGGGAUAACAAAAGAACUUUGGAAUAGCUCAAAGCCAUCCAAAAUGGGUUUUGGGAGAAUUUUAAUAGUUGGACCAAAAUAUGUCCACCAAUUGUGGAACCAAAAUGGAAAAGAGGGGAGUUGAUGCUUAGAUGGGAAAUAGAACAUCCCUGAAUGAUGGAAGUCCUUGUUCUGGAUCAGAAAAGCAUUGAACCAUACUCUUUGGUAGUCUCAAUAAUUGAAAAUUUUAGGUUUUGAAGGCUUAGAAAAUUCUCUUGAAAAAUUAGGAUUCCCACCCCACUGCUUAACUGUAAGGAUUUUAUAAAUAUGGUAAGUGGAGAAUGCCAAAUCCAAAUUGCUGAAUUUAUCAGCAUUGUGCUUGAUUUUAACAGAGCCGGUUUCCAUAAGGAUUGCUUCAUAAAAUUCUCUUGUUUUUAAAAGAUCACCAAAGGGAUAAUGAAAAUUUUCAUGAAAAGCUUUUGCUGCAAUAUCUCUAGGGUUUUUAGAGAAAAACUCUUUUUCAAUAACCAAAAGAGGUUGAUUUAAAUCUUUUUGCCAAUAUCUUGCUUUUGCUGAAAGAGGUGUGGGGUUGGCUACCACCACAAUUUGCUUAUUUGAAAAAGAAGAGCUUGAUGCUAAUUCAUUUUGAGAGGGAUUAGCUUUAGUAACCUGCUUAAAGGUCUGAGACACAGUAAUAGUUGGAUACUGAGUAGCCUUGACUGGUUUAGAAGGAUUCGAAGGAUCAUAGUACAAGGACAAAAUCUUAUUAGGCAUAUGGUCAGAAGAAUGAAGCCUUGCUUCUUCUUCUAGCUCAACUUGUUGGCUCCAAAGUAUUUUAUGGGGAGAAGGUUCUUUGCUGGUUUUAGAAGACUAGGAUUCUGGAAGUUUAGGAGCUUGGGUAUUCUUUUUAGGGGCCAUGGUUUCGUGAAUCCUGUAAAAUUCACAAGUUAAGAAAUCAGGGCUCGAAGAAUGUUCUCCUUUAAUAUACUCAAUUUGUAAAUUAAAAUUGCUUAAAAUAGCUUGAUAUAUAGCAAAAAUAUGCUUAGAAGUUAUAUUCUUAACAUCCUUUUGUAAAACUAAUUUUGCAAAUUUACAAUCAACUCUUAAUAAAAACUUUUGAUUCAAAAGAUCAUCUUGAAAUUUUGAAAUGCAUAAAACAACGCUUAAAGUCUCUUUUUUAAUGAUGUUAUGAAUGAGUUGGGUAGUAUUCCAGGUUCUUGAAGUAUACCUAACUAACAUCUCAAGGUUACCAACACUUUGCUUAAGAAUCCCACCAUAACCUAUGUCUGAGGUAUCGAUCCCAACAAACUCAAAGGUUUCUGGAUUGAUAGAGCCUAAACAUGGUAGGGUCUUGACUUUGGACUUAACAUCAAUAAUGAAAACAAUGGUGAAAACAGAAAACUGGUUAAAGUUUUCAUCCAUUAUAUUCUGGAAUUCUGAGGUGCAUUCUUAAGAUCAAAGGGCAUUAUGAACCAUUCAUAAUGUCCAAGAGAUACCACAAAGGUGGUCUUAUUUGGAAUAGGACACCUAAUCCAACUUAAUGUAUCAUUAAGAGGCAUGUAGUUGACGACUAGUCUAGGUGUUCCUUUUUCUGAUUCAACUUGUUCCUGAACAUAGAAGGUUGAACAACUCCAAAGGGACUUAGACUUCCUUAUCAACUUUUUAUCAAGAAGAUCCCAAAUCUCCUUAUCACAAUAGCUUAACAAACCCUUGUUCAUCUGGAUAGGUCUUGAUUUAGUGGGAAUAUUCUUGUCACUAAAGUCUAGUUCAUAAGGUAAUUCUACCUCAUGUUGUUUCCUAUGCCAAAAUGCAUUAGGAAUGUUAGAGCAAACUUCUUCAACAAUCAGAUUAAUUUCUUGCUCAUGACUUUCCUUAGCUUGAAUCACCUGAUCCCUUAAGGUGUUUAUAUUUUUCUUAUUAGGUGGUUGGCAAAUUCAAAAAUAAUUUCCUUAUCUAAGAGCUUUGUUCUUAUACUUUGGUCAUCUACCCACAUGGGAUAGAUGGAGCUUAAAAAGGGGAUUCCAAGGAGAGCUUUCUCCUUAAGAUCCUUAACUAGAAUGAAGGUUUGCUUGAUGCAAAUGCCUUGGUUAUUUAUGUGAGCAUCUGACAGCUUAUACUCAAUGUCAAGCCUUUUACCAUUAGCUCCAAAGAGAGAUUCUUUGGUUUUCUUACAAAACUUAAUAGGACCUAGACCUUCUUGUAGGCAAUUCAAAGCUGUUCCUGAAUCAAUCAAAGCAACAAUAUCAAUGACAAAUUUACUCUUAAUUACUAUAGUAAGGGAGACUUUCCACCUCUGGAAAAUAACCCUACUAACAGUAUUUAAGUAUCCAUCCGUCUUUUCAUCAUUAGCAUGUGAAGAUUCUAGAACCUCUUCAAGGUUUUCCUAGUUAUCAACAAGAUUUUCUAUAACAAUCCUAUUUAUUUGUUCUUGGAGAUCUGAAAAACCUAAGCUUGUGUAUUGUCUUAAAUCUUUAAUUUCCUUCUUAUACUGUCUUACUUCUUCUUGAAGAUCCUUAAUGGUUACGUCUUUGGUAGACUACUGGUUAAAUCUUCCUAAGAUUUCAUUUAAGUUAUAAGAAUUUACUGUCUUCUUAAUCUCUUGCUUAUCGACAAAUUUCUUAAAAACUUCAUAAAGAUCUUGUUUAGUUUUUUCAUCUUCAACUUUCCUUAAAACAUCUAGGACAAGUUCUUGAUCUUGGCUUAUGACAUUUAUAGUCUUAGGUUGGCAAUCACAAUUAUCCUUAAUGUAUUCUUCUUGGUCACUAGAAGUUUGGCUUGAGAUUUCCUCACCACUACUAUCUAGUUGGUUAAUACCAUUUUCAUUAUCUGAAUCAAUCCUUGAUUCAGACUCUGUGGAAUUUAACAUUACUUUACAAAGCAUAUCUUUUAAGUCUUCUGUGACAUUUAAGUUAUUAAUUUUCUGCUUAACCCUACAAUCUUUCUUAUAGUGGCCUAUCUUACCACACUUAAAACAAACUGGCUUAGAUUGUGAAGGAGCUUCUAGCUUUUUAUGGGCUUCUUUGUUCAUCAUUCUUUGGAUGUGCCUUUGUUUCUUAGUUUCAUUCAUCCUAUAGUUGCCAUGAGUUCCUCUCUUGUUGUGAUAGGACUUUUCCUUACUAGGCUUUGUACUUACUUGUUUCUUACGUUGCUUAGAGGGGGGCUUAGUUUCUUUUUGGUUGAAUCCAAACUAGCUACAAAAUGAACCAAACUCAUUCUUGUAGAUCCUUUGUUCAUUUUUCAUCUGUUGCUUAAGCUUAAAGUCAUUGCACAGUUUAAUUGCUUCUGAUGUGACAAUGCUUAUAAUUUCUCCAUAAGAAAGCUUAUCAUAAGGGAUUUGUCCAUUAAACUGUUCCCUUAUCUUAAUCCUAAUCCUCUCAGAGAAAAGUCUAGGUAGUCCUAAGAUGAAUUUUUCUUUCCAAAAAGACUGGUUAUAGUUUGAUCUUAGUAUGACUUUGGUUAGGAAAACUUCUCUAUACCAUCUAAAGUCAUGAAGCUUGGGACACUUAAGGUUGGUUAAGAGAUCUACAAUCUUAUCCUUAAUCUUUGCAGGAUCUCCAAUGAAGUGCUUUGAAAUUGAAUAGAUUAGAGUAGCCACUACAUCCUCUAUAUCUUGUCCAUCUUCAUCCUUAACCACUUCAUUUUCCUCAUUAAUCCUAUAGGCUUUUAGGAUACCAUUUCUAUCCUCAAAGGUGAGAUAAUUAUCCCACCAACCCUAAAGUUGACCUGUAAACCCAACAACAAUUGUUUGAGCUACAGCAUGGCCUGACAAUCUAUUGUUUAACUUAUAGGUUGUACUAACCAUGGUCAUUUCUUGAAGCUUAGUGAGUAUGUUGUACUCAAUCAUACCAUCUAUGUUCCAUUCAUAGAUAGUGUCACUAGUGUAGGAAGCUUGAGUAUGCUGGUUUCUUUCCUCAUACUACAUAUCAGGAAAAGUUGGUCUAGGGUAGUAAUUCCUAGUUCUUGGUUGUUGAUAAUCCUCAUAACUGUUUGGUUAGGAGGUUCCUUAAAAAUCUUAAUUAGUUCAUCAGCCUCUGCUUCAGAACUAAUUUCUCCUUUAACCAUAUUGAUUCUCUUGUGAGAUGGUUGAGGUGUCUCAGAGACAACAAGGCUAUCCUUAACCUUUUGGCUUAUCCUAUCAAUGAGGGCUUGAUCAAUAUGGAGAUUCUCUAGGAAUUUCUUAGAGAAUUCAAAAGGCUUAAAUAAAGACUUAUUAUCUUUCUUAACAAACGUAGUCUUAAUGUAGUCUUGUGUUUCAAUGAUAUCCUCAAACUUGUUGAGUUGAUCGCCUGUAGUCUUAAGAAACAUGUUAGUGUAGUUGUUUUGUUCCAUGAUUCUUCUAACGUCAACAACACUAUCAAUUCCUUUAUUCUUUGGCCUAGUCUUAAAAGGUGAAGCUUUGACUAUGGUUCAAUUAAUGUUCUUUUAUAUCUUAGCUUCUAGAGGGUGGAUGGAUUCUAUGAUAGUAUCGUCACUAGUUUUCCAUAUCUUAGUUUUUUUGGAUGUGUCAUUGACACGCUUACUAGGGUAAUCUAGAUAUUCCUCUUGUUUGAAGAGUUCAAACCAGAUCCAAUACUUAAUGUUCUUCUUUUCUUGUCUUAAGUAUGUGUAGAAUUCUUCUUGGUAGAGGGUUCUAAUGUCUUUAAGGACCUUGCUAAAGAACCAAACUCUCCUUUUCUUAUUGACUUCAGAAUAGAAGUCUUUCCUUAAGAGGUCCUUGUUGAUUCAAAGUCUUCGUUAAUUAGGCUUACAGUGUUAAUCAACUGAGAAUAAGUAGGAGACAUAUCAGGAGAUUCGUCCUGAUGUGAUUCUUGAGUAAACUCAUUUUCCUCCAUGUAAAAGGGUUUGGCCACGUUGGUGUGACUUCUAACACCUGUUAGCUUAAUAUUCUUAGGAUUUGCUGAACUAGAUCCUUCCUCUAUCCUAGUGGUUCUUAUUGGGAUAGAUGAACUUGAAGCUCUAGAGGGCUCAUAAUAUGAAAUUCUAAGGCUGCUAGAAUGAUGAAAAGAGUUGGAGAAAAUUAGAUCUCGUUCUCCAUCAGGAUAUUGAACAAUCUGUUCAAUUCUUUCAGAUCUUUGCUCUAUGGCUGGGACAACAUUAGCAAAAUGCCAAUUUUCUGGAAACUCAACCUCAUUCCACUUGAUUUUCAUGGGGACUAUGAAAUUAGACUUGUUUAUCAUAUCUAAGUGGAAGAUAGUGGUUUCACCCUUGGGACUGGUGCACAAUGCUCCAAAUCCAACGCUUAUGGUCAUGCUCUUAUAGGCAAAUCUGGUGAUGAUGGAAACAUGAUUGUUUCCUUGCUUGAACUUAAAGUCAUGGGUCUUAACAUGAAGGACAACUGAAUCUAAGAUGUUGACAUCUCUUAGUCUAACUGUGAAGUUAGGGAAACACUGGAAAUAAACAGGACCAUCAUUUAAUCCUGCUUGGGUAGCUCCAAUAAUAGAAUCUCGGUAAUCAAGAUGUCUAUUAUCUCUUAAACACAUGACAAUAAAGGUGUUUAGACCUAGUCUUGUCAAGGGCUUAGCUGCAACUUGAAUCAUGCCAAAGUGUAUGAAGUUGUAGUCUCGCUUAUGCUUAUCAAUGGACUUACUAUCCAAGAGUCUUAUGACUUGAUCGUCGUGUUCUAAACUUACUGACAUUUCAGGGGUUUUAAUGGUGUAAUCUGUAAAGAACUUAAAGGUUCCUUUCUUAUAAAUUUCUUGAUUAGGUACCUUGGGUAACUUCCAAUCAUCUAAAUCAUCUUGGAUCUUAGGAUAAUUGAUCUCUUCAUUGUUUACUCUUGAGAAUUUGUGGAUUUCCUAGACAUGGUUCUGAAAAUCAAACUCAUUUUAAGGUUUUAAUCUAGAGCCUAAUAGCAGAUUAACAGACCUAGUGAGUAAUCACCCCAACCCUUUUCCAACCUUAACAAACGCCUAUCUCCAGCUAACAAUGGGCUCAACUCGGCAAGGAUCGCACUCAGGCACACUACUAUCUUUCCUAGGAUAGAUCAAAACACCCAAAACAAACCCGACUUCCUUUUCCUAGGAUAUAUAUAGUAUUUUGGGUUUGAGUAGGAGUUCAUGUUUUGUAUGUAAUUGUAGUCUACGUUGGACUAGGUUGUUUGCUCCUAAUUGAAAUAGGAAUGGUUGGUGUCACAUCUCAUUCAUUUUCUCAUCUAUUUCCAUGUUUAGAUAACUCAAGUAAUCAUAGGAAUGAAAUUAAGAAUGAUUUGAGGGAAAUGAAAUCUCACUUGUAAGUGGGAUCUCAAUUCAUCAUUAAUAGAAGGUAUUUUGAUUACAUAGUGCAAGUUAUUUUUAAAAACACUUUUCAAAAAUUGAAAAACCAAAAACUCUCUUGGAUAAGUUGUUUUUAAAAAGAAUUUUUGUAUUUUUAUUUUGUAAAAAAAAAAAAUAGUAAUUCAAUUUAUAUAAUAUAAAUAGACUUUAAUUUUAUUAAAAAUAAAAAUAAUUUUUUAAUUACAAAUAAAUUAAAAAAUAAAUAUUUGUAAUAAAAUAUGAAUAGUAAUAUUAUAAUAAAAUCAUAAAUAAAUUAAAAAUAUUUUUAAAAACAAAUAAGUUUAAUUUUUUUGAGGUACAAAUGAGCCAAAUUUUUCAUUAGGUACACAACCAACAAUUUUUAUUGGAAACAUUCCUCAAAAAAGAAUUCGUUUCCCAUAUAGCAAAGAUAUUUAUUAUUUAGUAUCUAACCAUCCGUAGUAAUCAUAUCAAUUCUACUAAGUUAUUUAAUAAUUCAUUUAUAUAUAGUACUCAAUUAUGAAUUUUUUUAUUUGAUGUAUAAUUAAUUAAUCAAUGUUUUGAAUUUUGAAUUAUUCUUAAAAUUUAAAACAUUAAUUAUGUCUAUUACUUUUUAUAGUCAUUAUAUAUAUAUAUAUAUAUAUAUAUAGAGAGAGAGAGAGAGAGAGAGAGAGAGAGCUUAAAUUUAUCUUUAAAAAUUAUUAAAUUUAUUAAUAAAUUCAAUACAAAGACUCAUUUGAUUUGAAAUUCAUUUCUUUAGUGAAAAUUUUGAAACUAAAUAGUACUUUGUUUUACUUUGUUUUUAAAUCAUACUCACAAAUAAGUUUUUAUCAUUUAGCCAAAAAAUCUCAAAGAUGUUUCUAAUUUUAUUUAUUUAUUUAUUUGUAAAUGAAAAUAAAAAAUUAGUUUAAACUAAAUAUGCGGAUAUUAUUGUUAAUUUAUUUCAUUUUUUAUUUCCAUUGUUAUUUAACAUUGAAACGGAAACAAAUAAUCAUUCCAAUCUUACAUUCUUAUAUGCAUCUAAACACAAGAAUUGAAAUCACCAAAUUCAUAUUCAAGGCAAAAUAGAAAUGGAAAAAAAAUAUUCAUUUUCAUUCCUCAUUCUCAUGUGCUAAACAUGACAUUAGUUCUACUACCUAUUUCACCAUUCUUCUUGAUAAAUUUGGUAUAUGCAAUAUUGAUCUAAGUGUGAGGUGAAUAAGAAUGAUGAUGGGAUGGGCUUGGAAAUAAGGGCAAAGUUUCUAGGUGCUAUCUAGAGGGGCAACGCGACUUUUUCAAAUUUCGAAUAUUUGUUCUCAACAUAAAGCAAAACUUUACUCACACAAUAGAUAAGACUCUGUUUGUUUUCUUCAUCCACGACUAUAUAAUGUAUAGCUCUUACUCAAGGGAUGAGCUACUUACUAUUAAGGAUUGGGUAAGAUAUUGCCUAAUGGCCAAGAAGGCAUGUCAAAAAAUAAAUCUAAUCACCAUAAAAAAUAAUAGGGGAAAAUUAAUAUAUUAUGAAUGAUGACUUUACUAUUUCUCUAUAUACAUAAUUAUAUAUUUUGAAUUUUCUCACUAGGUAAUGAGAUUCUAAAUCAACUGAAACAUAAUUAAUAAUUUAUAUUUUUAAUGAAUCUUUUAAUUUUUAAAAAUAAUUUAAAAUUUUAAAAAACAAUUCAAUUAAUUACAUAUUAAAUCAAAACAUUUCAAAAUAUUGUGUUUGUAGAUGAGUACUAAAUGCUUGCAUAUAAUAAUAAUAAUAAAAAAAUUGACUCAUUUAGAUGUUAAAAAAGUUAAAUGUUUUUCAUUAUUCAUUUUAAGUAAAAUAUUAUUGACAUUAUUAUUAUAAAAUUAUUAUUAUUCAUUUUUAACAAAAAACAAAAUAAGUUAUUCUUUUACCAAGAUGUCAAUAUCUAUAUUUUUCUAACAUAUAUUAAAAUAGUAUACUUUUCUUUUAUUAAAAAUAAUAAUUAUUAUUAUAUUAUUAUUCAAGUUUUAUUAAAAAAAUUUAUCUUUUAAUUCAUUUGUAAUUACAAAAUAAUUUUAUUUUAUUAAGAAUUUAAUUUAAUUACGCUUUUUUUUUUUAUAAAAAAAACAGUUAUGCUUUUACCAAGAUGUUAAUAUUCAUAUUUUUCUAGCUAACAUAAAUAGAAUAGUACACUUUUUCAUAUAAAAAAAUAAUUUAUGAUUUUAUUAUAAUGUUACUAUUCACAUUUUACUAAAAAUAUUUAUUUAUUUUAUUUAUUUUUAAUUAUAAAAUAAUUUUAUUUUCAAGAAUUUAAUUUUAAAAAAAUAGAAAUCAUUUAUUCUUUUACCAAGAUGUUAAUAAACAUAUUUUUCUAACAUAUACUAAAAUAAAAAAGUUUACUUGUUCAUUAAAAAAUAUAAUUUAUGUUUUUAUUAUAAUACUACUAUCUAUGUUCUACUAAAAAUAUUUAUUUAUAAUUAAAAAAUAAUUUCAUUUUUAAUAAGACUUGAACUAAAUUAAAUUUAUAAUUUUUUUUUAAAAUAAAAUAGAAAAUUAUUUUUUAAAAACAACUUAUUGAAAGAAAUUUUUUAUUCUUUACUUUUAAGAACUGUUUUUAAAAGCAACCUAUAAACCCCUUUGGGUCUGUUUGGCUAUGUUUCAUGCAACUUGUUUUUAAAAAUUGUUUUUUAUUCUUUAAUUUAAUUUUUUUUAAGUUAAAGAAUAAAAAACAACUUUCUAGUGUUUUAUAAAAAUGAGAGCUUUUGACAAGUUGUUUUUAAAAACCAUUUUUAAAAAUAAAAAAUAAAAAACUUAUUUAGAUAAAUUGUUAUAUAUAUAUAUAUAUAUAUAUUUGUAAAAACAUUUUAAAUUCAAUUUAUAUAAUAUAAAUUUAAUUUAAUUUAAGUCUUAUUAAAAAAAAAUUGUUUGGAUAAGUUUUUUUUUUUAAAUAGUUUAUUAUUUUUGUUUUGUAAAAACAUUGCAAAUUCAAUUUAUAUAAUAUAAAUUAAUUUAAUUCAAGUCUUAUUAAAACCAAAAUAAUUUUAUAAUUACAAAUAAAUUUAAAAAUAAUUUUUUUAGUAAAACAUGAAUAAUAAAAUUAUAAAUUAUAUUAUUGUGGACCCUGCAUUUAUGCUCAUGCGCUUCCACUUGUUGGCGAACUCAUUUUUUAUUUGAAAAUGAUUUAUUUUUUUAGAAAAUGACUUAGAGUCGCCACUUAUUUUUGUUUUAUUUUUAAAGGGCAAGCAAAAUAAGAAAGAAAACCCUAAGUGUGACUCCUUAUUCGAAAAAGGUAGUCUGUGUAAAACCGGAUCAGGGUUCAGGGAUCAGGUUACUUAUUGGGAAGGUAUGACAAUGACCGUAGCACUCCUCUAAGUCCUUAAAAACGGGCCUCUACUAAAAAAAAUAAAGUAAUCAUGGCAAUCAGUAAGGAAAUCACUGGAUACCCAGAACAAUUAUGCACAUGUGAGAAUUAAAACAUGCAUAAGAAUGGACAAAGUGAGAGUGGGUGCGUACCUUGACAACGAACCACAAUGCGUUAUCAAGAAAUGGGGUUAGUGCACGAUCAAUGAACAUAAAACACGUCACACAUGUCACUAAGCAGAGUGAGAAAUCAUCAGAUAUUACAAUUCAAUCAAAUUUAUUUUUAGAAGAAACAUCUGUUGAUGUAGAGCCCCUACCAAAGCCUAAUUUAUUUUUGCAUGAAUCAAUUUCAUAAAUUCAAUCGCUUGGAAUUACAGAAUUAAAUUCAUGCUUAUUUUAAAACAUCUUUUUAAAAUCAUGGAAGAUGUGAAAAUGGUUUUCCAAAGAGAAAAUGACAACUGAUUUUAUUGAAAAUGGGAUUUUGGGGACCUAAACGUUAAAGAGGGAUUAGGAAUUGAAAAUUAAAUCAUUUGAAAAUUGAAUUUUUCAAAAAUCAGUUUUGAAAGCAUGCAUGCAAGUAUGGACUGUGAAAGUGGGCCUAGGGAGGGUGGCCAUGCAAAAUGAGGUCAUACACGUGGGCCUUGGGUACAAUUGGGACUACUUUGCUGGUGCCAGUGGUGCUUGCAGCUGUCAUCCAUGAUUUCUUCAUUGGGAUCAAUUUCCAUUCUUACUGCCAAACAUUCCAUAACAAUUGACCAAACUAGUAACCCUGACCUUGCAUGAAAAUGAACGUUACCUAGAAACUCACUGCCAGUGAGAUUCAUUGCUCUUUCAAAAGGUCUCAUUUUCUUUCUCAUCCAAUUGCUUUAAGGAGCAUUCUAGCGUCACGAUUGGUGACUGCGCAUCAUCUAGAGCCUUCUUUCUUCUCAGAAUCAGGUUUGCGUGCAGAGGCCUGUGCUUGUUCAAGGUUGACCUAAAUUCAUCUAGGUUUAGAACCGACCAGUUGAGCUUGGGGAGCAACGACAAGAAUAUCAGUCACUUGCGAAGAGAAAACUCGAGAUCUUUCAAGUAAUGCCUGACAUAGAUUCCUCCAACCUGUGGCCAAUAUCUCAUUCCUUGUUGGCCAGACGCCUAUUAGGGCGUAUCUCAAUCAAUAAUAUGAUUUUUCGUUUGUUCACAAUAAAGACCGGAAGCCAUGGUUGUGAUUUAUGCAGUACAGAAGAAGUUGCCAUGGCUGGUAUCCUUACAAAUUCUGGUGUUUCUGCUAUCUGUUCAAGUGCAAAACACAACAGCUUUAUCAAGUUUGUCCCUAACAACUGAUAUUGAGCCCUCUGGAGGAAACCUUGAUAAAUUCAUAAUCACUUUUGACUCAUGCAUGGGCUGCCCAUCAAAUUUUCCUAGCAACGAGACGACUGCUGUCAUCUACUGCAAAGAGAAUUUCUUCUCGCAAAGACAAGAGGAGUUUAAGAAUACACACUAUUCUGCCAUUUCAUUUCCUCUUUCUCCACAACCAACAUAAACCAUAGUGUCUACAUUAGAGUACUUAGAAAGAGCUUAACUGAUGACCGUUUUUCCACAACCAAAUGCCCCAGGUAUGGCACAAAUUUCACCGAAAACAGAAGGGAAAAGGGCAUCAAGAACACGCUGUCCUGUAAGUAGUGGGGUAUCAGGACUACUCUAGGGAAGUUAUUUCUGUCAUUUUGAAAAAGAAAAAUUAAAGAAUGUACACAUGCUUUCAAGUGGACUGGAGCAUUCUACAUAUCAGGUGGUCUGUAGCCACAUGUGCCACUUUGUGGAAGUUGGAACAGUCGAUCACUAGGCUAUUUAGUGUGGCCAAGCCACGUUAAUCAAGGACAAGUCUUCAUACUUAAAAGUCAAAUGGUGCCUUUAGUCUCAUUACACAUGGCUAUUUAAAGAUGAACUAAUCUUUAGUGUAAUGUGAUUAAGACAGUACUAACUGAUCAAUAUUUUUUCUAAUUUUGGAUGCAAAUGCUUGCUGGCUUCAUCAUUGGAUGGGAUAAAGGUGCAUUCAUGACUCUGAAUACUUGCAGUAAUACUUGCAGUAAUACUUCAUUCUCUUUUUUCUCGAUGAGACUUCUUGGCACAAUUUUGCUUCUCAGCAACCUACCUCUCCAUGGAAAAUGAGUUGCGAUUGAUGGUACUGGAUAUUUUCUAGGAAGCUAAAUAUAGAUAUAUAGCACUCAAUGUCAACGAUAUAUAUAGCAUUAACAGUAUAUGUCUCAAUGCUCAUCAGCUACAAGCAAGGGACAAACACUUACAAUGAAUAACUCACGUCAACAUUCCUAAACAGGACAUAGAAGUGACAGAUCUAUAUAUAGAACACUGCAUAUGAGUCACAAGAAAAGAUAAUACGGGUGCAUAGCAGCUCUUAUAUUACAUAUUACUCAUACCGUUCAAAUUCACUCAGUUGGGAUGGGUGGGAGAAGGAGGCCUCUGGGGUGGCUUGUGCGUGUGAGAAGUGGAAGAAAGUUGAAUGGAAUGAAACUGAAAAACAGGGUAGAAUAGAGGUUUCUUGAAUCUUCUGAAAUCUUUAUUUUUCUGAGAUUUAUUCUCUGUUUUUGUGAGUCGUGACUCUACAUAUAUACAUGUAUUUAAAGUUAGUUAUGCCUUAUAACUAAUUAUCUAACAGUACCAAAACUAAUCAUCUAGUUGCAUGUUUCUAAUUAAUGCUAUUUAGUUACAACUAUAUAUGGCUUAACAUCCUCUCUCAAACUCAAAAGUCUAGCUAGAACAGUGAGUUUGCUUCAUAGAUUGAGAAAUUGUUGAAUAGGUAAGGCUUUGGUAAGAGCAUUAGCAAUCUGGUCAUAAGAAGGAAUGUGUUGAACCACCAAAGUCUUAUUGAGCACCUUUUCCUGAACAAAAUGGCAAUCUAGUUCCACAUGCUUAACUCGAGAAUGAAAAUAGGAUUGGCAGCAAGAAAGGUGGCUGAAAGAUUGUCAUAGAACAAAACAAAAUAGGAGAAUAAGAAGAUGAGAUAGAAAACUCCUGAAGAAGAUGUUGAAUCCAUUGAAGUUCAAAAGCAACAUUUGCUAAGGCCCUAUACUCAGCUUCAUUGCUGGAACGAGACACAACUUUCUGCUUACUGGAGUUCCAGGAGACUAGAUUAGAGCUAAAAAAGAUGCAAUGACCACUUGUACUUCGACGAUCAUCAGGGCAACCAACCCAAUCAACAUCAGCAUAAGCAGUAAGUUGAAAAUCAGGAGAAGAAUAAAAGGAAAGACCAAAGGAAGUAGUGCCCUUAAGAUAAUGCAACAAUCGUUUAACAACUUGCCAAUGAAGAUCAGUUGGUUAUUGCAUGAAUUGGCAAAGUUUAUUGAUAGAGAAAGAGAUGUCAGGCCUUGUAAUGGUACAAUAUUGCAGGGCUUCAACAAUGUUGCGAUAUUGAGAAGGGUCAGCCAAGAGGGAACCUUUAGAGGCAGAUAAAGUGUGAGAGGUAGUCAUUGGUGUAUCAAUAGGUUUAAAAUAUGGAAGACCAGCACGAGUUAACAAGUCCUGAAUAUAUUUGGUUUGGGAAAGAUGAAGAGAAGAUCCUUGCCAACAUACUUCUACACCCAAGAAGUAAUUCAGAAUACCAAGGUCCUUGAGAGCAAACUGAAAGUGUAAAGACGAAACCAUUUGGUGGACUAGCACGGUAUUAAGACCACUAACAAUAAUGUCAUCAACAUAGAUGAGAAUAAUGAUCAUGUCAGUCCCUUUCCGAAGAGGAGCUUGCUUCAGACCCUACAAGGCUUUGCGAAGUUUACAGAAAAAACCGGGUUUAGAAUGAUCAACAAAGCCUGGAGGUUGAACCAUGUAAACCUCUUCUUCUAACUCACCAUUGAGAAAGGCAUUAUUAACAUCUAAUUGUUCCACUAACCAACCAUGAGAAAUAGCAAGAGAAAGAACAAUUCAUAUAGUAGUUGGUUUAACAACAAGGCAAAAGGUUUCAAAAUAAUCAAUACCAUAUGUUUGAUUAAAACCCUUUGCAACUAAGUAGGCUUUAAAACGAUCAAUUGAGCCAUUAGCUUUGAGUUUCAGCUUGUAUAUCCAUUUACAACUAAUAAUGCGUGUAUUAACAGGUUUAGGAACCAAUGUCCAUGUGGAAUUGGUGAGAAGAGCAUCAUACUCAGUCUUCAUAGCAGCUUGCCAAUUAGGAUGCAAUAUUGCUUCUUUGAAAGAGGAGGGUUCGACAACAGUAGUUUGGAUAGCAAGGCUAAAUAUUUUUUUGGGUUUAAAAAUACCAUUUUGGCUACGAGUAACAAUAGUUCGGUUUGGAAGUGAAAGAGGAUCAGUGGAGGAGGCUGGAACAAGGGAUUGUGGUAAAGUAGGAAAGGAAGGUGGAUGAGAUGGAACAAAAUCAGUAGGGACAAUAAUGGGAGAAGAAAAAUUAGGUGGAGAAUGAUGAGGAUUCCUUGAAGAUGGUGUAGGAAUAGAGAGAAUACCAGAAUCAAGAAGUGUUAAAGAAGAGUUGGAUGAUGAUACUGGUUGACAGGAUAAAGACUUUGUUAAAAAUGGAAAUCGAGUUUCAUCAAAUACAACAUGACGAGAAGCAUAUAUCCGAGAGGAAGCCAUAUCCAAACAGAGGAAUCCCUUGUGUUUAGCACUAUAACCCAAAAAACAGCAAACAACAAAUAUAUUUGCUAGCUUGUGAGAAGCAUAAGGGCGAAGAUAAGGAAAACACAAGCAUCCAAAACUUCAAAGAGAUGUAUAAUAAGGUAAACGAUUAUAAAGAACUCCAUAAGGAGAAUUUUGUGAAAGAACAGCAGAGGGAAGGCAAUUUAUGAGAAAAAUGGCAGUUUGAAAUGCAAAUGACCAAUAUUUGAGAGGGUAUACCAGCUUGUAUUAACAAAGAAAGACCAACUUCCACAACAUGACGAUUCUUUCUUUCAACUCUUCAAUUUUGCUAAGGAGUAUAAUGACAAGAGACUUGAUGAAGAAGACCAUUUGUAGCCAAAUAAUUCUGAAAAGCUGAAACUGAAACUCAUCAAAUUGAUUUUUAGUAUCAAAUUUUCUUCAGACUGAACACAUUGAUUUUUAGUAUCAAAUUUUCUUUCAACCAUGGCUUGAAAAUGUUGGAACAUAAGUAAAGCUUCAUCUUUAGUUUCCAAAAGGUACAACCAUGAGAAUAUGCUAAAAUCAUCAAUUAGCAAGAGGAAAUAUUGAGCAUUACCAUUGACAGAAACUAUAGGAGUUGCACCCCAAAGAUCAACAUGGAUGAGACCGAAUGGUUUUAUUGCUCUAGAAGUGGAUAUUUCAAAUGGAAAACGAUGGCUUUUAGCCAACUGACAAGACUCACAUACAGAGUUAUUAUUGUCAUGUUUCAAAGGUAUUUUAUAAAGAGAUAAGAUUUUGGAAACUACAUUAAUAGAGGGAUGACCAAGUCUAUUAUGCCAAAGCCUCAAAGAACCAACGGCUAAAGUACUACUAGUAGAGUAAAAUACUAGUGGAUGACCAACAACUCUUGGUGUAGCAAGAAGUUUAUAGAGACCCUUCUCAAUUUUUCCUUGAAGAAGAGCAAGUCUCGUUUCCUGAUCCUUUACCACAAAAUGAGAAGAACGAAAUUCAAUAAAGGUGCCAUUGUUUGAGUAAAAUCGUUGCACGCUAACUAAGUUGGUGGUAAUAGAAGGAACAUGUAAGACAUCAUUGAAAAACAAAGAACCACUUGAAGAGGCAAGAGAAAAUUUACCAAUAUUUGCAAUGGAUAAACCCUUACCAUCUCCAACAAUUACUUUGUCACCACUGGUAAAUGGAUUAUGGAUUGUUAAAUUGUUAAGAUCAGAUGUGAGAUGAUGGGUAGCCUUUGUAUCAAGAAACCAAUAAGUGUCUCCCAUUGUUGCAGAAGUUGUAGUCAUAGCCUCAGGAUUGUUAGAGGUGGAAUGUUUAGAAUCUUUUGGCUGAUAAUCAGAGUUAAACCGAUACCAGCAUUGUAAAGCGGUGUGUCCGAACUUACAACCGAGAGAAAUAAUCUUUACUUAUUCUCUAAAAACUGUUCUUUAUUCCACACAUUAUUUCUAAAAACUGUUUCUAGAUAACAAUGACAAAAUAGUAUUAGGAAUUUUUAAAAAUAAAAAUUGUUUUUAAAUUACAUGAUCUAUAUCAUUCACAUUUGACCAUUAUAGCUUUGUUCAGGAAAACACUUGAAAGUAACCUUAUCGUGAUAAGAGAUAUAAGUUGGCUGUAGUUUCAAACUGAAAACAGAGGAUGGCAAUAGAAAGCAAAGCAUUAGUUAUCUGCAAUCAGUGGUGAUCAUGCCCCAUGUCAAUUUCGGACCCAUAUCUUAAAACCGUAUAAUUUGCAUUUCAACAUUUCUGAUUUCUCAGAUGUUUCAUACUCCACAGAAGAACAUUGUUUGUGAAAGCAUGCAUUUAUGCUGGAUUUUGGAUGAUGUGGGAACUGGGGCAAGGAUCAUAUGGAAGAGUGGUCGAUUUUUUCUGUACUUUAACAUUUGAAAUAGGAGCAGCACGGGCAUUUGUGGGGCUUAAUUGAUUUUGAAGCCUGAAAUUGCGUUUCUGUCAUUUUGUAAAAAAUAUGGCAGAUUCCAUGCUCUCAUAUGUUUGGUCUGUGGCCAUGUAUAGAUGCCACUUAGUGACCAGUUUGUAACUGUCAAUCAUAGUGUUUUGACUCUGGCUCAACAACAUCAGCCAUUGACGGAUUUUCAUACAUGCAAAUCAAAUAGUCUUCUUCCUCCCUUAGGAAUUUCGGUUUAAAUGUUAUUAAGCAUACAUUUGGCUGACAAUUAUUAACCACUUCAUGAUAUGGUUUCUUACCCUUAAUCAAUGGUUUCUAAGUGAAUAUAUGCAGAAGGAAAUCUGAACUGUAGACAGCAGUAUUGAUAAUUAUCAAUAUUCUUUAUAUAAGAGAAUAAACAACGUCAUAGUGAUCGUCGCCUACAAGAAAGGUACAUUUCCCAACAAGAUGUAGUUGUGACUGGUACAUGGACGUAAUUAACUCGUAGAAAAGGAUAAGACCAGUGCACGGCAGCUCUUAUUUUACAUGCUAAUUAUGCUAACCAAAGUCACUCAGUUGGGAUGGGAGGGAGAUGGAGGUUUGUGCGGUGGCUUGUGGGGCGGAGUUGGUGGCUUCUUUUCAGGAGCUUGUGGCUUUUUCGGAGCUGAAGGAGGCUCAAUCUUAUGAGGCGGCUUGUACGAGUCUUCUUUACUCUCGACAGGAGGGUGGCCAGGGUUGUGACCAUAAUGUGGUGGCUUCUCUCCCUUAGGUGGCUUGCCAACUGGGGUUGGUGGCUUGUGUUCAGGAAGUGGUUUCUCUCCCUUGGGAGGUUUACCAAUUGGGGUUGGUGGCUUGUGUUCUGGGAGUGGUUUCUCUCCCUUGGGAGGUUUAGUGGGUGACUUGUGUUCUGGAGGUGGCUUCUCCACCGGAGGCUUGUGCUCCGGUGGUGGCUUCUUGGUUGGA